UUAAACAGUUUAUGUGGUUGUACCUGAAGUUUGAGUUCCAUUUGACAAACGUUAACUUAACAACGAAGAUUCGACUACACUAUGCCCCCGAUGAGCGAAGGUUUGUUUUAAAUGAAAAAGGUAAAAUCGACCCUUAUUCUUCUGCUUAUCGAGGUAAGAUGCUUGAAACCUUUGAAACACUUUUGUACUCCUCGGAUAGUGAUAAAGAUCGUGUUGAUGAACACUUAGAUCGAAACGUGCUUGACUGUCCUAUUUUAUUUAUUGAUGAUCUAUCUAUUUUGAUGGUUGAUAAAAAGAUUCUUGUUUUUGAUAAUGCAUGUGUGAGUGAAUCUAUAGACCGUCGAUUAAUGCAUGGUAUGAUUAUGCAACUCUGUGAACCAUGUGAAUCUUUUCAAAUACCUACUUGUGACGAUUAUGUUUACCAUUUGAUUUAUUACUCGCAAUUUAUUCAUGGUUUGUGGGAACAAUGUGAGACGACUGAAUGCCUUAAAACAUGUCCAUCUUUGUUUCAAAUAUUUGACGAGGCAGUGGUGAGUAAAUUAGAUUGUUUGCAUGGUAAUCUGAAUCUGUCCAUUCACAUGCGUUAUACCUGUUCUGUUAUGCUUAUGAUUGGACUACAAGCUUGUUUCCGUUGCUAUUUACUAUCUCAUGGCUAUUCUUUUCAGUGGACUCAAUUGCCAUUAGUCCCGUUCGAUAGAGGAAAGUCGAGUUCAUUUGAUUUUUCAGAUUCGAGGACGAAUCUUUUUGAGGAAGGGGGGAAUGAUACGAGUCACAAAAGCCCAAAUUCUUGAAGGCGAGGCCCAAUAAGCAAAUUCUCAGCCCAAUCAAGAAAUCCAUCCAUACUUAGUUGAAAAUCAGGCCAAAUUGUCAAAGUGGCCCAAGUUGUAAAGUUUUAUUUUUAUUUUUAUUUAUUUAUUUAUUUAUUUACUUAGUUUAAAUUUUUAUGUCAAUAUUCAGUCCAAGAGUCCCAGAUAAAAUGACCUUUGACCGAAUUUCCAUAUUAAAAUAAUUAGGAGUUUUUUUAUUUUAGUUUUCUAAUUAGAUUAGGACUAGUUAUAAUGCCUAUUUAAAGGCAUGGCUGUCCACCUUGUUAAACACUUAUCAUUAUUAUUAAAAUUUCAGAUUUGUUGAGAGCAGAAUUUUCUUUGAGUUUUCUCCAAGAUUUCUCUCUUGAGUUUUCUUUAGAAGUUGUUUUAACAAUCUUUUUGAUUGUGGGAGCCAUCUUCAACCUUCUUCUUGCCAUUGAUAUUCUUUGGAGGGGAGAUUAGAGCCGUUUGAAGGGAGUUGUGAGAUCUUUCGGGAUUUCAAGGCUUCUUAGGACUUAUCUUUUAAUUUCUUAUUGUCAAUUCUUUCUUUAUUUCUGCUUGUGCCGAAUCUUUAUCUAAUUUAUUUUCUGUUCUUAUUGUGUUUUCAGCCUUUUUCUAUCUUAAGGAAUUAGCCCAAAAAUCCCCAAUUUCUAGGGUUCUUGCCGAUUCAUCCAUACUCUUUUUUGGGAGAAAUUAGAUUGCCGAAAUUUGGGGAAAACUAUCUGGGUGUUCAAUUGGGCAGAAUCGUAAUCUCUUCUAGGGUUUCAAGAUUCUUUAUUAACACUUAUUUCUAUUCUCUAUUUGAUUCUUUACUGUUUUGGGGAUUUUAUUUCAGAUCUGAAAAUUUAAAAAUCUAAUCUUUUAAUUUUCUGUUUCGUUUCAGAUCUAAUUGUUUAGGGUUUUCGUAGGAGUUUCUCGUGACUUGGCAACUCGAUCUUGGUCCGCGCGCAACCCCGUAUCAAAGGCUCAAUAGUCAGCUUCUAGAUGGAGUCCAUUCAGCUGGUCAUUAAUCGAAGGAUGGUGAGCUGAAAUGUCUUGGUAGAUUCAGCCUAGGUGCUUGAAUGGCUUUAAUUGAAGUUCCUUGUUCAGCUGAAUAAUUUAGGAGCUUUAAUUGGCAGCUUGGGUAUUGUAAUGGUCACCCAAGUAUGAAAACGAAUUCAAACUACCUUGUGUGUGUGAAAACAAAAUUUUGGACAGCGUUGUAAUAUGAACGGAAUGUGUAGCAUUAUGAAAACUUUUAAGGCUGCCUUGGAGACUUAAACGGUCAACUUGGGAAAGUCAAUCAGCAGCUUCUUUUGCCCUUGAUGUCCACGAAAAGGCUGCUAGAAUUAGCUGAAUAAUCAGGUCAAUGAAGGGUUCCGUCCAUGCAUUGUACCUACAGCAAUUAAAUACAACCAUUAAUUCAUAGUACAUGCAUAGGUGCUGUCCAAGAUAUGUACACGCAACUACAAAUUAAAGAUAGAUUAAGACAUAUUAAAUUGGCAGCAACUUAGUCAAUAAACCUGCUCAUAAAUUCGGCUGAAUUUAGACAUGAUAAAUCAAAAACAAGACACAUUAAUUAGAUGUAAUGAAACAGGUUUAUUUAUGCUAUGUAAUAUCUAAAACAUAUUAAAAGCAUGCAUGAAACACAUUAAACACAAAUAAUUAAAUUUGUCCAAAUUUAAACAAAUUAAUUACUAACACUUAUUUAAGCUGAACUAAAAUUAAUUACCAACACUUAUUUGAGCUGAACUAAAGUUAAUAAACUAACUCAUUUAAUUUAUUCCAGCAAAUUAAAAAUGCAUGAAAUUAAAUAAAAGCGAAUUAAGCUCAAUGAGCUAGCAUCUAGCCGAAUUGAGCUCCAUUGAGCUAGAACGAGCUAGUUUAGCGUGCAAGAGUUUGUAAAUGAUGCCUAAUAGGCUAAUCCAAGUGCAUUCCUGGGGCGUGGUCGUAUCAUUCCCCCUUCUUCAGAACGACUUGUUCUCAAGUCGAGCCGUUGGUUCACUCGAUCAUAACUCCUUUUACUCAGCUUUCCUCGAUCGAGCGGGACGAAUGGCAAUUGACUCGACUGAAAAGAAUAACCAUGAAUUAGUAAAAAGUAGUGCAAACAAAUUUGCAAUCCGAGCAUAACAAGACAAAUGUAAUGCAUGCGAAUGGACAGAUUCAGAUUACCAUGCAAACAAGCUAAUUUACUUGCCAAUGCCUCAUCAAAUAUUUGAAACAAAAAUGGACAUGUUUUAAGGCAUUCAAACAUCUCAAAUUGUUUACACAAACCAUGAAUAAAUCGCGAGUAAUAAAUCAAAUGGCAAACGUAAUCGUCACAAGUAAGUAUUUGAAAAGGUUCACACGGUUCACAGAGUUGCACAAUCAUACUAUGCAUUAGUCGACGGACUAUAGAUUCACUCACACGUGCAUCAUAAAAAUUAUCAAAAACAAUAAUAUUUUUAUCAACCAUCAAAAAAUAUAGAUCAUCAAUAAGAAAAAUAGGACGGGCAAGCACGUUUCGAUCUAAGUGUUUUACAAAAACUAAAUCAUCAACACGAUCUUUGUCACUAUCCGAGGAGUACAAAAAUGUUUCAAAAGUUUCAAGCAUCUUACCUUCAUAUGCAGAAGAAUAAGGGUCGAUUUUACCUUUUCCAUUUAAUACAAACCUUCUCUCCUUGGGAAUGUAGUCUAGUCGAAGCUUCAUGGUUGAAUUAACCUUGUCGAAAUGAAAUACGAACUUUAGGUACAACCACAGAAAUGGAUUAAGGAAUGAAUUUAAAUUGAAAUCAAAUUUAUCAUACCUCGUUUCCUUAUUCAACAACCAAGUAUCAAAACAAUAGAAAUUGUUCGCACAUAAUCGAUGAUGCUUGAUUUUCCCACAAAAUGUACCAAAAUAGAUUCCGGGUUUAAAAACUUGAUUUUGAUUAUUCAUGCCAAAGUGUAGCAAAGAGUUCAUUAAACAAAACUUGUCAACCCAAAAGGAUUUCUGUGUCCACAGAAACAAAUGUUCAAAUCUCUUUACUUCUUUCAAACUAAAUUUGCAAAAACUCGAGGAUUUCAAACAAAGUAGUAAAGGACUCACAUAAUCACCACAAUUAAUUAAAUUGAGAUGUUUAUAUGAAAAUUCAUUGUUACGCAGAAUCGAGUUUCGCAAUUACCGAUUAAACAUGACUUCACCUUUAAACUUGUCAACGCAAAGAUUUGUUUUGGAAAAGCUCGUCUCACCACCAUUUGAGAUUACAACACUAAUCGAUGAAGGAAAAUCAACCACUUUUUGGCACGGAGCUUUUACAAAGAUGAAGUUUUUGAUAUUAUAUCUACCCACAUUCAAGGAAGAUAGUGGAAAUUCAAGUGCUAGGUGUUCCUUACCUAUCUUACCUUCGGGCUCGUGUGGUUCGAUUUCAAUUUCAUCCUUACCUUUUUCAGUCAUGCAAAAAUGUCGCUCGUCAAGAAGAUAUUGAAGUUGAUAAUCGUCAUAGGGAUUUCUCGGAACCUGAAAAGAAGGAACAGAACAAAACCAAACAUUACGGGGGUUAGUUAAAAUUUUGUUCUCUUUUUCGUGUUCUCGCUCACUAUCUUCAUUUUCUCUCGUUUCUUUUUCAACAUAUUUUUCUUUUUCAAUUUUUUUCUCAAUCUCAAUUGCUUUUUCAAUUUUCUUUUCUUUGUUUCCUUUUUCUUUUUCUUCCUCUUCAUUUUUAUUACAAUGUGUGAUGAUGAUACAAAAGAAUAAAAAAGAUAGUCGUUUGGCUCAAAGCAAGAGAAACUAUUUUUGUAGUCUUCUCGUCCAUUUCUUAGGGAACAAUCCUUCGGGAAGGACUUCUUUGAAGCAUACGAGAAAUAACUUGUGCUUUCUCAUUCGUCAUAUCGAGAAGUCGCAAGCUCAAAGAUUUCUUUUCUUUUUCUCAAAUUCCUUGACGAGUAGGAAUCCCGAUAAGAAUUUCUUAGUGAGCAAUCUUUGGAUAUGCAUCACCAUGAUGAUCUCAACUCCAUUUCUCGACUCAGUAGAGUUUGCUUCUAUUGGGGUUUUUCCUCCACUCGGUCUAAAUGUCUUUUUAAUAGACCUAGCUUCCUUUCAAGCAUUCGGCCCAUCUCGUUCACCAAAUACUGAAAUUCAUCAGCUGAAAAGGUUUCUCGAGACAUGAUUAAGUAAUGACAAGAAAAGUGUUAAAUAAAAUAAAGAAAAUAAAUACCUUACCACAAACCUCACAAGUUCGCUCACAAAGAAAAAAAAUUCACUCACUCUCGUGUUUCAACUCUCUUUUAGGCUUUUGCUUGCUCUAAUGUACUCACCACUCGUGCCUUUUUCCGUUCAUCUCACUCUCGUGAAUUCGUAUUUUGUUUCAAAAAGACUUAUUGCGGCUUAAAGGGUCGGCUUCAAAUGGGUGCAAAGGAUAAUGUCAGGGUGUAUAGGGUAGGCUGAAACAAGGAAAAUAAAAAUCAAAGUAUGUGUGGCAUUUUUUUCUUUUCUUUUUGGGGGUAGAAGCGAUGGUAGAAUGAACGGAUGAUCGAAAAUAAUAAGAGAUGAAAACAAAAUAAAACUCGCAAGACUUUUCACUUCUUUCUUUUUUUAUACUUUUCAUUUUUUUUGAAUUUUCGUAAUUUUUUUCUUUUAACACUUCAAAUACAAUAUAUUGAAUUCAAGAAGAAUAAAAUAUAACUUGAUUUUUUUGAUGAUUUUUUUUUAUUUUUUCAUGUUACGAACCUACUCCGAGCUUGAUACGAACGUCAGUGCUCCACGUUUUAGUAGCUCUGAUACCAAAUGAUGCGAAUCAGCCCGGUUUGAUCGAGUCAUUUCACAUAGUUGCCCGAUCAUCGACGAGGAGUAUCGUACCAAAGGAAUAGUUUGUUUGUAAUUAGCCAAAAUAUGAAGUAAAGUGAUGGUGAUACGGGGUUGCGCGUGGACCAAGAUCGAGUUGCCAAGUCACGAGAAACUCCUAUGAAAGCUCUAGACAAAUCAGAUCUGAAAUCAAAACAAAGAACAAGAUUAAACUAAUCAAUCUAAAAUUAAAUCCCCAAAUUCAAUUAAAGGAGCAGCAAGAAACAAAGAAAUAGAAUAGAUGAAUCAAACGAAAUUGGAAGUAUAGAAAGAUUGCGAAUCAGUCAACAAAUUGAUUCGGCCAAGAAUGGCCAUUUUCCAGCAAUCAAUUGAUUCCCAAAUUGAAAGAAAAUCCAAUCGGCCAAACCCUAGGAAUUGGGGAUUUUUGGGUUCGAAUGGGUGCUGCCAAUAGGAGAACAACUUAAAUGAUGAGAUCUUGAGUUUAAUCAAUGUUGGAAAACAAACAAGAACAGCAAAAUAUUAGAUGAGAAAUUGGCACAAGUAUAAGCAAAGAAAAGUAAAGAAAGAAAUCGAAAAUAGCAAGAAUUAAAGGAUAAGUCCUAAAGAUCCUUGAAAUCCCGAAAGAUUUCACAAAUCUCUUCAAACGGCUCUUCAAACGGCACAAGUAUAAGCAAAGAAAAGUAAAGAAAGAUUUUCUUGCUGUUCGUUCUUCUUUAUUAAUUUUUGCUUGUGCUGAUUUAUUGAUUAACUUGGGAUUAAUUGUUCUUGUUGCGUUUCAGCCAUUCCAAACUUCAAGAUCUGAUUCGGCUUCGUUCUUAGGCAUCAAGAAACGUUCUUCAUUCAUAAUUUCCAGAUUUCUUGCCGCCCAAGUAUUUCUUAUUCUAUUCGAUUUGGGUUUCUUGAUUUGACAAGUUUAGUUCUCUAUUUUCUGUUUUCGUUGCAGCCAAUUUGUUUAUAGAUCUCAUAGGACUUUCCCGUGACUUGACGACUCAAUCUUGGUCCACGCGCAAUCCCCUAUCAGUAGCUCAAUUUCAUUUCGUGGAGCUCCAUUUAGCUCAUUUCCAGCUCCUUCAAGCUCAAUUAGCUCAAACUUAGCUCAAGGAUCUCACUUUUAAUUUUCAUUAAAUUUGCUGGAAUAAAUAAUUUCAGUUGCUGAUUAGUUAAAUAAAUUAAUUAGCUUAAGAUUAAUUAAUUUAAUAAAAUUUGGACAUUUUAAUUAAGUGUUUUAAUUAUGUCUGAAUUCAUUAAUGUGUCUAAUUUUAUUACAUGCUUUAAUUGUGUCCUAAGGGCUGCCGAAUUUAAUGUGCAGGAAUUUUGUGUUAUUUGCUGCCAAUUUAAUGUGUCUAAAAAUGCAUCUAAAUUAUUGAAUGUAUUUGUUGCAGUACAUGCAAUGGAUGGCACAUACGUGUUUGGAGAUUAAUUUGGGAUGAUGUUUGAAGUUUCCUAUGUGACUAUUCAGCCAAAAGGGAUGUUGAUUUAUUUUCCCAAGCUGUCUAUUUGACUGAACAAUUCUUUUCACAUUGCUGGAAGCUUUUGGCUGUUCGAUUUAGAGUGUUCACACAUUGGGGACUCUUCAAGACAGAGUGUUCACACCUUCAUGGUUGUUCAACUCAGCUUAUUAAUAGUCUUGACUUGUGGAGUGCCCAAAACAACCCAUCAAAGACCAUGAACAUUCAGCUGAACAUGCAGCUCAUUUUAAAGCACAUUUAUGCUGGUUGCUGCCCAAAUUGAAUGCUUCUCAAACUCCAACCAGGCCAUUCAUUUUUUCUAGCUAAAUUAAGCCUUUUAGAAGAUCUAUUGACGUUCUCAAUGUAUGGGGAAGCUUCAAGGAAACUUCCUUCAAAAUUCUAGAAUUUUCAAGACCUUUACUUAGCUCUUAAGACUGCCUAUUCGGUUGCCAUGUAAAGCCUAUAAAUUCAGGCUGAAAUUACAUUGUAAAAAAACUUUUGAACCUUAAUGAAUUACUGUCAAUUUGUUGAGAGAAUUCUUCUCUUGAAUUUCGUCCAAAAACAUCGUUGACUUAUCUAACUAGUUAGUGGCGUCAACCCAUUUUUGUUCAAUCGAACUUAUCACGAAAUCGUGUGGCAUUCAUCCUAAAUUAUACCAAGGUUCCUAUCUAUUUAGAUAGUGGGUCGAGGUUUCCCUAUCCAUCUCCUAAACAACUUUAGAACUUAUAAGUUUCGAGUCAACCUUCAAUCGAAGUGUUGGUUCACUCUUGUUCUAAGUUUUUCAUCUUAAUUCCUUAUUCAACGAUUACCUUUCUUCUUUUAAGCCUAUCCUUGACACCCUUAAACUACAUUUAGCCUAAUAUCGAACUUCAUUCCAUCUCAAAUGAUUCUUAUUUGUUUUAACGAUCAGGCAACUAUAUGACUCAGAUUAAUCAACGAGGCCGGGGUGUAUCAUUUGGUAUUAGAGCUAUUUAAAAUGAGAAGAGCGAAUGUUCUAGAAGAGUCAGAGUAAGUAGAUUUGUAAAAAAAUCGUAUAUUAAAAAAAAGGUUGUAUUUAUUUUUAUUUGUAAAUUAGCAUAUUGUAUUGUAGUUUAUAAAAAAAAGAAAAUUCAAAAAAAAUUUUGUUGCAAGUGGUAAAUACUUCUUUUGGUCAUUCCCGAUCAACGAUUUCUUAUUCCCAACACCAUCCACUUUCACGCCACACUUGAUAACCUAAUAUCGUUCUUUUAGCCCACCUACAUCCCUUAUACAGUUACCUUUGCAAACCUCUUGAAACCGACCCUUAAACUAGAAGAUCUAGUCUUACGAAGUUUUAUACGAAAUCACAAGAGAAGAUACAAGAGGAAAAAACACGUGAGUGAGUGUGCACAAUAGAGUGGAGGUAAAAGCCAUUAAAAAGUGUAAACACGAGUGGAGUGUCGAAUUAUUUUCUUUUUUGAGUGAAUUGUGAGUUUUUGUUGUGAGGUUAUAAUUUCAUAUGUCAAGAAGCCCUACGAGAAUCAUGGCGGAAAGGCAACCUAUUCGGAAUGUGCCGAACUUGAAUUUGCAAGCAUUACUACGCGAGGUGGAACGAUUGUUCGAUCAAAAGUUGGAACCGAUUCAAGAUAGACUUGAUCGUGUGGAAGGAAGAGCCUGAUACGAGUCACAAAGGCCCAAUUCAAGCUCAGGAACGUGAUGGGCUCAAAUGACCACAAGGCCCAAUAACGAGGUCAAAGGCCAGACAAAUGCGUUCAAAACCAAAUGGAACCAUUCAAGAAUUUAUUAGAAAGGCCUUAGAUGCGUACACGAAGGAAAAAGAAAAUCAAGAAACCGAAUCUUGGUCCAAUUUUGCUGUUUGGAGUGAUUUCAAGAAUCAAGAAAAUCAAGAUUUCAAAUCUUGAAAAUCUUGGUCCAAGAAACCGAAUCUUGCAACUAAGGCACAUUGGAUCUCUGUUACGAGCAUCAACGAACCAAUUUCGGUAGGAAACGGACUACAAGCCCAAGUUCUUGAAGGCAAGGCCCAACAAGAUGUUCCAAGCCCAAUCCAGAAAGUUAAAUGAGACUUAGUUGAAAAUCAGGCCAAAUUAUCAAAGUAGCCCAAUUUGUAAAAUUUUAAUUCAUUAAAUACUUAGUUUCAUUUUUAGACUUUAUAAAUUAAUUGCUAUGUAAAUAUUCAGUCCAAGAGGCCCAAUUAAAAGCCCUUGGCCGAAUUUCCCUUUAAAAUCAAAUAAUUAGGAGUUUUUUUAGUUUUAGUUUUCUAAUAGGGUUAGGAAAAUAAUAGAAGCCUAUAUAUAUGUAAGGCUUGUCCGGCCAUACACAUCACAAUACACUUGAAAUCAGAUUUUGAUUGCUUGCAAAUUCUCUUGAGUUUUUCUCCAAGAAUUUUCUUUUGAGUUUUCUUUAGAAGUAGUUUUAACAAUCUUUUAGAUUGUGGGAGCCAUCUUCAGCCUUCUUCAUGCCAUUGUUCUUCAUUGGAGGGGAGAUUAGAGCCGUUUGAAGGGGGUUGUCAAAUCUUUAUUGAUUUCAAGGCUUCUUAGGACUUUAUCUUUAUUUUCUUGUUGUUCAAUCUCUUUUUAAUUUCUGCUUGUGUCAAUUUCAUUAUCUAACUUGUUUAAGUUCUCUUAUUGCGUUUCCAGCCCCGUUCAACCUUCAAGAAUUUGAUCGGCACCACCCCUGGACAUCAAGAAACAUUUUGAUUCUCCAAACCCAUCUUUCUUGCCGUCCAAACCCUUCUUUUAUUAUUUUGAUUAUUUUAAUUUCAGAUGUAAUUGAUUCUACAUUGGUGAUACGAACUCGUUUCGUGAAUUGAAUCGAGUCGUUAGUGUCGCCCGAUCGUGAAUUGAGUAGAAUAGAAUCACUUUGGUUUAAAAGAAACAAAAUAGAGUUAAUGGCUUCAAACAAAGGUAAUGAAUAAAAUAGGAAGGAAACAAUAACAAAUUAAUUGGCUAAGACCAAAGAUGAACCAGCAAUAACGAGUUAUUGACCCGAAUCUCAAAAUGGUCUUUAGGUGUUUUUCGGUUAAAGGAAACAGCAAAGGAACCUUGACCCACUAUCAACUAUGAUAGGAACCAAAGGUAUAUUGAACGCCACACCAAAGGUGAUAAGUUCAGCAACACAGAAAAGAUGGACGCCACAAGCUAUGCUUGAUAAGUCAAAUCAAUUCCGUAAGAACAAAGAGAAUUGGAUAGCUCAAAAUUCAAAUAUUUCAUCUAUAUUCAGCAAAAAGUUCUUCUUUCUCUAUGGCUGAUUACAUCUAUUUAUACUGCUAAAACAAGGUAACCGAAUGGUCAAAAAACAUCCACUUAAUGUGCCAUAAAAAACUGAUGUCUUUUCUUAUUCUUUGAACCAAAUAACUCCUUCCAUAAAAUCACCUUAAUUCAGCUGAUUUGAAUGUCUUUAAUGGCUUAGAAAAUGACUCUUGAGUUGUCCUUGGCUAGUUGAAAAGACACCAUCUCUUAACCAGCUCCUUAAUGACAUUCAAAGGCUUGAUUAAUUUCUCUUGAAAGCUCUAAAAACGGCUGGAAGUGGAAGAGUUGCUGUCAAAUUUAAAGGGCAUAAAAUUCUCUUUAAAAACUUCUUUAAUGAUUUUUAAGCUCCCUUUAUAACAUCACCUUUAAUUGUAACUCAAAAGAACUUGAACAGCCACUUAAUUAAAUGUGUAACAGCCUUGAAUUGUAACCACUAUAAGCUAAAAAGUCACCUGCAAUAAACACAUUGAAAUGAGUUUAUUAAACAAAUGAAAACACUUAUGAAUCAUAACAAACAUUAAACUUACUUAAAUAAAUGAACUAAAACAUAUAUGCAAUAAUUAUUCCAGCAACUAGUUUAAUUAAAGAAGCAUAAUUUAAAGAACUUAAUUUAUGCAUCAAUAAAUAAUCCUAGGAACUAGAUCAAUUAAGAAGCAUCUUUAUUUAAUAAAGUUCAAUAACUAACUCAUUUAUUAAAAAUUAAGAUAAGUUAAAUUAAUUGAUCAGCUACUCAUUUAUUAAACUAAAACAAGUUAAUUAAAAGAAAAAAAUUCAGCUUGCAACAAAUUGCAAGUAACGCUUUUUGAACGGUUCGAAGCAAGACUAUCGAAUUCGGCCACUUGCUCUUCCCAAGCUCGUUCCACAUAGCUUGCUAUUGCAUUUCGAAAUCUCUUAGCUCGUGAUCUAGUUAUUGGUCCUCGUGGUAGCUCAAUGGAUUCAGUAGUAAUUUCCCUGGCUAAGGUUGUAUCAAUUGGUCUUGCUGUUUCGUUUCAGAUUUUAUUGUUCUUGUUCGUUUUGACCAUUACCAAAGUUCAAGAUCUAUCUUUUCUCCACAUUUGACAUCAAGAACCAUUCGUUAAUCAUAUUUUUUUCAGAUUUCUUGCCGCCCAAGUACUCUAUUUCCUAUUCUGAUUUGGUUUCUUAAUCACUUGAGUUUAACUUGCUGUAUCGUUUUCUCCAGGUCAUAUUCGGCUUGGAGAGUCAUUCUUGCUAUUUAGAUCUCAUUUCUUGGCCUCUAAGGAACCAUAUUAAUUCGUGUUCUGAUUAUUAGCUAAUUAUCCAUGGUUUUAGGGUUUUCGUUUUAGAUCUGAUACUGAUAAGUUUGAUUUUUUUGUUUUGUUUCAAAUCCGAUUGUCUAAAGAUUUCUAGGAGUUUUCUCGUGGCUUGGCAACUCAAUCUUGGUCCGUGCGCAACCCUCUAUCAUUUGGUAUCAGAUUUUGGGCGUUUUGGGCGUUUUGGGCGUUUUGUAAAAAAAAUUAUUUGAGUAGGUAAAAAUGGUUCGAUUGGUCUGAUAUUUUAUAUGCAUAUUUUUGGCACUGUGAUAGAUUAUUAAAAAAUAUUUCCCACAAAAAAAAUCAGUAGAAAAAGUCAAAAAAAUUGAAAAAGACGAAAUCAAGAAAAAAAAUUAAAAAAUAUACAGUAGGUUGAGUUUAGUUACAAAAAUUUCCAGAUCAAAUAUACAAUAUUUAAGGACAUUUGAUACGGGGUUGCGCGCGGACCAAGAUCGAGUUGCCAAGUCACGAGAAACUCCUACGAAAACCCUAAACAAUUAGAUCUGAAACGAAACAGAAAAUUAAAAGAUUAGAUUUUUGAAUUUUCAGAUCUGAAAUAAAAUCCCCAAAACAGUAAAGAAUCAAAUAGAGAAUAGAAAUAAGUGUUAAUAAGGAAUCUUGAAACCCUAGAAGAGAAUGCGAUUCUGCCCAAUUGAACACCAAGAUAGUUUUCCCCAAAUUUCGACAAUCUAAUUUCACCCAAAAAGAGUAUGGAAAAACCCUAGAAAUUGGGGAUUUUUGGGCUGAUUCCUUAAGAUAGAAAAAGGCUGAAAACACAAUAAGAACAGAAAAUAGAUUAGAUAAUGAUUCAGCACAAGUAGAAAUAAAGAAAGAAUUGACAGUAAGAAAUUAAAAGAUAAGUCCUAAGAAGCCUUGAAAUCUCGAAAGAUCUCACAACUCCCUUCAAACGGCUCUAAUCUCCCCUCCAAAGAAUAUCAAUGGCAAGAAGAAGGUUGAAGAUGGCUCCCACAAUCACAAGAUUGUUAAAACAACUUCUAAAGAAAACUCAAGAGAGAAAUCUUGGAGAAAACUCAAAGAAAAUUCUACUCUCAACAAAUCUGAAAUUUUAAUAAUAAUGAUAAGUGUUUAACAAGGUGGACAGCCAUGCCUUUAAAUAGGCCUUAUAACUAGUCCUAAUCUAAUUAGAAAACUAAAAUAAAAAAAACUCCUAAUUAUUUUAAUAUGGAAAUUCGGUCAAAGGUCAUUUUAUCUGGGACUCUUGGACUGAAUAUUGACAUAAAAAUUUAAACUAAGUAAAUAAAUAAAUAAAUAAAUAAAAAUAAAACUUUACAACUUGGGCCACUUUGACAAUUUGGCCUGAUUUUCAACUAAGUAUGGAUGGAUUUCUUGAUUGGGCUGGGAAUUUGCUUAUUGGGCCUCGCCUUCAAGAAUUUGGGCUUUUGUGACUCGUAUCAUUCCCCCCUUCCUCAAAAAGAUUCGUCCUCGAAUCUGAAAAAUCAAAUGAACUCGACUUUCCUCUAUUGAACGGGACUAAUGGCAAUUGAGUCCACUGAAAAGAAUAGCCAUGAGAUAGUAAAUAGCAACAGAAACAAGCUUGUAGUCCAAUCAUAAGCAUAAUAGAACAAGUAUAAUGCAUGUGAAUGGACAGAUUCAGAUUACCAUGCAAACAAUCUAAUUUACUCACCACUGCCUCGUCAAAUAUUUGAAACAAAGAUGGACAUGUUUUAAGGCAUUCAGUCGUCUCACAUUGUUCCCACAAACCAUGAAUAAAUUGUGAGUAAUAAAUCAAAUGGUAAACAUAAUCAUCACAAGUAGGUAUUUGAAAAGAUUCACAUGGUUCACAGAGUUGCAUAAUCAUACCAUGCAUUAAUCGACGGUCUAUAGAUUCACUCACACAUGCAUUAUCAAAAACAAGAAUCUUUUUAUCAACCAUCAAAACAGAUAGAUCAUCAAUAAAUAAAAUAGGACAGUCAAGCACGUUUCGAUCUAAGUGUUCAUCAACACGAUCUUUAUCACUAUCCGAGGAGUACAAAAGUGUUUCAAAGGUUUCAAGCAUCUUACCUCGAUAAGCAGAAGAAUAAGGGUCGAUUUUACCUUUUUCAUUUAAAACAAACCUUCGCUCAUCGGGGGCAUAGUGUAGUCGAAUCUCCGUUGUUGAGUUAACCUUUGUCAAAUGGAACUCAAACUUCAUGAACAACCACAUAAACUGUUUAAGGCACGAAUAUAAAUUGAAAACAAAUUUGGAAAAUUUCGUUACCUUAUUCUCCAAAAUAGAUUUGGACAAAUUCAAGGAUUUUACACAAGGUAAAUCAAGAGAAUAACAAAUCACGCUUCUUUCCGUAAUGACUUUAUCAACCACAAUCGAAGAGUAACAAUUAAUCGGAUCAAAAUGAGGGGAUCUUUUAAGAACUAAGUCACCAAAAGUUUUAUCAAUAAUUUUCAAAUCUGCACUGGACUCGGUUUCUAAAAUUUCCUUACCUCGCUUACCUUCGGGAUCAUGUAGUGUGAUUUCAUCUUUACUUAAGUUGAUCGUAUGAAAGCGUCUUUCAUUUGAGAGGUAUUGAAGUUGAAAGUUAUCUUUCGAUCUUUCGGGAACCUGAAAAGUAGCAACACAAGAAAAAUUCAUAUCUUGGUUAGUGGAAACAUUCCUCACUACCCUUUCCACGUCUUUUUCUUUUGUUUCUUUUUCUAAUUCUUUUUCUCUUCUUUCUUCAAUUUCUUUUUCACUCUCAAUCUCUUUUUGCUCUUUUUCAUUCUCUUUUUCUUUUUCCUCACUUGUUUUAACAGAAUUUUUCAGUUUGAUUUGGUCCUCAUGGACUUGUUCCAGAGUGAGCGGCACUAAGGUGAGUUUCUUUCCUUGAUGCUUGAAGAAUACCUAUUGGUACGACCAUCGUGAGUGACUUUUCGAUCCAGUUGCCAUGGUUCUCCUAGCAACAAAUGGCAGGCUUGAAUAGGCAUUACGUCGCACACAACUUCGUCUUGAUACUUACCGAUAGAAAAGGCGAUGCGCACUUGUUGAGUGACCCUAAAUUGGCCUUCGUUGCUAAGCCCUUGUAGUUGAUAAGGUUGUGGAUGCUUGGUAGUGGUUAAGCAAAGCUUUUCCACCAUCGUCGUGCUGGCUAUGUUCGAGCAACUUUCACCAUCAAUAAUAACUCUACAAAGCUUACCUUGUACGUGGCAGCGAGUAUGAAAGAGAUGUUCUCGUUGCUGCUCGCUCUUUGGUUUUGCCAAAUAUGAUUGUCCAUGAUCAUGACAAUCAUCAUCCAUUCUAGGGACACGUUGAGGGUUGUACCUAUGGGACUGGUUAUCCCUAUCUUCCUUAAUUGGAUCUCGAUAUUGAUGUUUUUGAUUCACUCGUACCUCAUUCAAAGUAGUAUUCAAUUCUUGAAGUGUAGCAUUUAUUUGUGUGAUUGCAGCAGUAUGUCUGUCUAACUAUUGUUGGACUUUCAUAAGUGCAUCAUUAUUAUCACCUUUAGACAUCUUCAAAACCUGUAAAAAAUAAACACUCAACACUCAAAAAUGAAAGUUAGCAAACCUCACCAUUAAUCACUCAAAAAGAAAAAUCAAAUUCUCAAUGAGGUCGAAUUCAAUCUUGUGAGUUCUUUAUUAGAGUUUAUAUCAACCAAUUAGAGAGUGUGAACCAAACUACCAAAGAAUCCUAAUUUGCACUAGGAUGCCAAAAACUGACGAGACACCAAGUGAUUCGUGUUGCACCGAGGAAGGAUUGUGCACACGUUUAAAUCCUACUAACACAAGAAACAAGAAGGUGUUAGAUAUUUUAAAAGGAUAAUAAAAAGCAAACAAAUGAAAACCUACAGCUAAGAAUCAAUAAAAAUUGUUGAAAACAGAAAACCCGAAAGACUGCGGAGUAACUUGACAACUUCGUUCGAGGUGUUCCCGAUCUCUAAAUUUCACGAAAUUAAAUCUGGAGUGUCCUUAUAUAUUGAAUUUUUGAUUUAAAAAUUUUUGAAACCAAAUUCAACCCGCUGCACCUUUUAUUAAAUUUUUAUUGAAUUUCGUCUUUUUUUGAUUUUUUGACUUUUUUGACUGAUUUUUUUUCGGGAAUAAUUUUUUUAUAUUCAAUCACAGUGCCAAAAACAUGUAUGUAAAAUUUCAGAUCAAUCGGAUAACGUUUACCUACUCAAAUGAAUUUUUUUAACAAUUUUUCUGGGUAAAACUGCUGUUUAUGCUUUAAAAAAUAGAGAUCAGUUUAGAAAUCAACCAAGAACACCCAAAACGCCCAAAAUCUGAUACCAAAUGAUACGGGGUUGCGCGCAGACCAAGAUCGAGUUGCCAAGUCACGGGAAACUCCUACGAAAACCCUAAACAAUUAGAUCUGAAACGAAACAAAAAAUUAAAAGAUUAGAUUUUUAAAUUUUCAGAUCUGAAAUAAAAUCCCCAAAACAGUAAAGAAUCAAAUAGAGAAUAGAAAUAAGUGUUAAUAAGGAAUCUUGAAACCCUAAAAGAGAUUGCGAUUCUGCCCAAUUGAACACCCAGAUAGUUUUCCCCAAAUUUCGACAAUCUAAUUUCACCCAAAAAGAGUAUGGAAAAACCCUAGAAAUUGGGAAUUUUUGGGCUGAUUCCUUAAGAUAGAAAAAGGCUGAAAACACAAUAAGAACAGAAAAUAGAUUAGAUAAUGAUUCAGCACAAGUAGAAAUAAAGAAAGAAUUGACAGUAAGAAAUUAAAAGAUAAGUCCUAAGAAGCCUUGAAAUCUCGAAAGAUCUCACAACUCCCUUCAAACGGCUCUAAUCUCCCCUCCAAAGAAUAUCAAUGGCAAGAAGAAGGUUGAAGAUGGCUCCCACAAUCACAAGAUUGUUAAAAUAACUUCUAAAGAAAACUCAAGAGAGAAAUCUUGGAGAAAACUCAAAGAAAAUUUUGCUCUCAACAAAUCUGAAAUUUUAAUAAUAAUGAUAAGUGUUUAACAAGGUGGACAGCCAUGCCUUUAAAUAGGCCUUAUAACUAGUCUAAUCUAAUUAGAAAACUAAAAUAAAAAAAACUCCUAAUUAUUUUAAUAUGGAAAUUCCGUCAAAGGUCAUUUUAUCUGGGACUCUUGGACUGAAUAUUGACAUAAAAAUUUAAACUAAGUAAAUAAAUAAAUAAAUAAAUAAAAAUAAAACUUUACAACUUGGGCCACUUUGACAAUUUGGCCUGAUUUUCAACUAAGUAUGGAUGGAUUUCUUGAUUGGGCUGGGAAUUUGCUUAUUGGGCCUCGCCUUCAAGAAUUUGGGCUUUUGUGACUCGUAUCAACAUUCUAGUUUAAAUUUCAUGAUUUUUGGAGAUCAGGAACACCUCGAACGAAGUUUUCGGGUUUUAGCAAUUUUUAUUGAUUCUUAGCUGUAGGUUUUCAUUUGUUUUGCCUUUAUUCUUCCUUUACACUAUCUAACACCUUCUUGUUUCUUGUGUUAGUAGGAUUUAAAAGUGUGCACAAUUAUUCCUCGGUGCGACACAAAUCAAUUGGUGUCUCGUCACUUUUUUAGACUCCUAGUGCAAUUUGGAUUAUUUGGUAGUUACGGUUCAUACACUUUCUAAUUGAUUGAUAUAGACUCUACUAAAGAACUCACAAGACUGAAUUCUACCUCUUUGAGAAUUUGAUUUUCCUUUUUGAAUGAUUAACGGUAAGGUUUGUUAAUGUUUUUUUUGAGUGUUGAGUGUUUGUUUUUCAACGAAGAAGAACUCCCUUAAGCCCUCCGAGAAAUCGAGGAUGGCAAUCUGAUUUAGAUGAUGAAUCUUCCGAGCCGAUUAAACACGAAAGUGAUAAAGGGUCCAAUGCGAAUGUCCAACGGAGAGGCCUACGCAACCGAGGCCAACGAAACCGAGAGAGGUUUGAUGAUGACUUGAAAAGCAUUAAGUUGUCAACCCUUCAUUCCAAGGCCGAUCGGAUCUCGAAGCUUAUCUCGAGUGGGAGAAAAAGAUCGAGCUCAUAUUUGAAUGCCAUAACUAUUCUGAGGCCAAGAAAGUUAAGUUGGUUGCUUUCGAGUUUUCUGACUACGCAAUGGUUUGAUACUAGUUACAAAGGCCCAACCUAAGCUCAAGAACGUGAUGGGCUCAAAUUACCACAAGGCCUAAUAACGAGGUCAAAGGCCAGACAAAUGAGUUCCAAACUAAAUGGACCAUUCAGGAAUUUGUUAGCAAGGCCUUAGAUACGUACACGAAAGAAAGAGAAAAUCAAGAUUCACUUUCUUGUUUUCAAGAAAAUCAAGAAACCGAAUCUUGGCCCAAUUUUGUUGUUUGCAGCGAUUUCAAGAAUCAAGAAAAUCAAUGAUACGGGGUUGCGUGCGGACCAAGAUCGAGUUGCCAAGUCACAAGAAACUCCUACGAAAACCCUAAACAAUUAGAUCUGAAACGAAACAGAAAAUUAAAAGAUUAGAUUUUUGAAUUUUCAGAUCUAAAAUAAAAUCCCCAAAUCAGCAAAGAAUCAAAUUGAGAAUAGAAAUAAGUGUUAGGGUUCUUGAAACCCUCAAGGAGAUUGUGAUUCUGCCCAAUUGAACACCAAGAUAGUUUUCCCCAAAUUUCGACAAUCUAAUUUCACCCAAAAAGAGUAUGGAAAAACCCUAGAAAUUGGGGAUUUUUGGGCUGAUUCCUUAAGAUAGAAAAAGGCUGAAAACACAAUAAGAACAGAAAAUAGAUUAGAUAAUGAUUCAGCACAAGUAGAAAUAAAGAAAGAAUUGACAGUAAGAAAUUAAAAGAUAAGUCCUAAGAAGCCUUGAAAUCUCGAAAGAUCUCACAACUCCCUUCAAACGGCUCUAAUCUCCCCUCCAAAUAAUAUCAAUGGCAAGAAGAAGGUUGAAGAUGGCUCCCAGAAUCCCAAGAUUGUUAAAACAAAUUCUAAAGAAAACUCAAGAGAAAAAUCUUGGAGAAAACUCAAAGAAAAUUCUGCUCUCAACAAAUCUGAAAUUUUAAUAAUAAUGAUAAGUGUUUAACAAGGUGGACAGCCAUGCCUUUAAAUAGGCCUUGUAACUAGUCCUAAUCUAAUUAGAAAACUAAAAUAAAAAAAACUCCUAAUUAUUUUAAUAUGGAAAUUUGGUCAAAGGUCAUUUUAUCUAGGACUCUUGGACUGAAUAUUGACAUAAAAAUUUAAACUAAGUAAAUAAAUAAAUAAAUAAAAAUAAAAAUAAAACUUUACAACUUGGGCCACUUUGACAAUUUGGCCUGAUUUUCAACUAAGUAUGGAUGGAUUUCUUGAUUGGGCUGGGAAUUUGCUUAUUGGGCCUCGCCUUCAAGAAUUUGGACUUUUGUGACUCGUAUCAUUCCCCCUUCCUCAAAAAGAUUCGUCCUCGAAUCUGAAAAAUCAAAUGAACUCGACUUUCCUCUAUCGAACGAGACUAAUGGCAAUUGAGUCCACUGAGAAGAAUAGCCAUGAGAUAGUAAAUAGCAACGGAAAUAAGCUUGUAGUCCAAUCAUAAGCAUAAUAAAACAGGUAUAACGCAUGUGAAUGGACAGAUUCAGAUUACCAUGCAAACAAUCUAAUUUACUCACCACUGCCUCGUCAAAUAUUUGAAACAAAGAUGGACAUAUUUUAAGGCAUUCAGUCGUCUCACAUUGUUCCCACAAACCAUGAAUAAAUUGGGAGUAAUAAAUCAAAUGGUAAACAUAAUCAUCACAAGUAGGUAUUUGAAAAGAUUCACAUGGUUCACAGAGUUGCAUAAUCAUACCAUGCAUUAAUCGACGGUCUAUAGAUUCACUCACACAUGCAUUAUCAAAAACAAGAAUCUUUUUAUCAACCAUCAAAACAGAUAGAUCAUCAAUAAAUAAAAUAGGACAGUCAAGCACGUUUCGAUCUAAGUGUUCAUCAACACGAUCUUUAUCACUAUCCGAGGAGUACAAAAGUGUUUCAAAGGUUUCAAGCAUCUUACCUCGAUAAGCAGAAGAAUAAGGGUCGAUUUUACCUUUUUCAUUUAAAACAAACCUUCGCUCAUCGGGGGCAUAGUGUAGUCGAAUCUUCGUUGUUGAGUUAACGUUUGUCAAAUGGAACUCAAACUUCAUGUACAACCACAUAAACUGUUUAAGGCACGAAUAUAUUGAAAACAAAUUUGGAAAAUUUCGUUACCUUAUUCUCCAAAACAGAUUUGGAUAAAUUCAAGGAUUUUACACAAGGUAAAUCAAGAGAAUAACAAAUCACGCUUCUUUUCGUAAUGACUUUAUCAACCACAAUCGAAGAGUAACAAUUAAUCGAAUCAAAAUGAGGGGAUCUUUUAAGAACUAAGUCACCAAAAGUUUUAUCAAUAAUUUUCAAAUCUGCACUGGACUCGGUUUCUAAAAUUUCCUUACCUCGCUUACCUUCGGGAUCAUGUAGUGUGAUUUCAUCUUUACUUAAGUUGAUCGUAUGAAAGCGUCUUUCAUUUGAGAGGUAUUGAAGUUGAAAGUUAUCUUUCAAUCUUUCGGGAACCUGAAAAGUAGCAACACAAGAAAAAUUCAUAUCUUGGUUAGUGGAAACAUUCCUCACUACCCUUUCCACGUCUUUUUCUUUUGUUUCUUUUUCUAAUUCAUUUUUUCUUCUUUCUUUAUUUCUACUUGUGCUGAAUCAUUAUCUAAUCUAUUUUUUGUUCUUAUUGUGUUUUCAGCCUUUUUCUAUCUUAAGGAAUCGGCCCAAAAAUCCCCAAUUUCUAGGGUUUUUCCAUACUCUUUUUGGGUGAAAUUAGAUUGUCGAAAUUUGGGGAAAACUAUCUUGGUGUUCAAUUGGGCAGAAUCACAAUCUCCUUGAGGGUUUCAAGAACCCUAACACUUAUUUCUAUUCUCAAUUUGAUUCUUUGCUGAUUUGGGGAUUUUAUUUCAGAUCUGAAAAUUCAAAAAUCUAAUCUUUUAAUUUUCUGUUUCGUUUCAGAUCUAAUUGUUUAGGGUUUUCGUAGGAGUUUCUCGUGACUUGGCAACUCGAUCUUGGUCCGCGCGCAACCCUGUAUCAUUUGAUAUUUUAAAAGGAUAAUAAAAAGCAAACAAAUGAAAACCUACAGCUAAGAAUCAAUAAAAAUUGCUGAAAACAGAAAACCCGAAAAACUGUGGAGUAACUUGAAAACUUCGUUCGAGGUGUUCCCGAUCUCAAAAAAUCACAAAAUUAAAUCUCGAAUGUCCUUAAAUAUUUAAUUUUUGAUCUGGAAAGUUUGGGCACCAAACUCAACCCGCUGAAUUUUUUUUAAUUUUUAUUGGAUUUCGUCUUUUUUUUCGAUUUUUUGACUUUUUUGACUGAUUUUUUUGCAGUAAUAAAUUUUUUAUAUUCAAUCACAGUGCCACAAAUAUGUAUGUAAAAUUUCAGAUCAAUUUGACAACGUUUACCCACUCAAAUAAAAUUUUUUUGAAAGAUUUUUCUGGGUAAAACUGCUGUUUUUGCUUUAAAAUAUUGAGAUCAGUUUAGAAAUCAACCAAGAACACCCAAAACGCCCAAAAUCUGAUACCAAAUGAUACGGGGUUGCGCGCGGACCAAGAUCGAGUUGCCAAGUCACGAGAAACUCCUACGAAAACCCUAAACAAUUAGAUCUGAAACGAAACAGAAAAUUAAAAGAUUAGAUUUUUGAAUUUUCAGAUCUGAAAUAAAAUCCCCAAAUCAGCAAAGAAUCAAAUUGAGAAUAGAAAUAAGUGUUAGGGUUCUUGAAACCCUCAAGGAGAUUGUGAUUCUGCCCAAUUGAACACCAAGAUAGUUUUCCCCAAAUUUCGACAAUUUAAUUUCACCCAAAAAGAGUAUGGAAAAAUCCUAGAAAUUGGGAAUUUUUGGGCUGAUUCCUUAAGAUAGAAAAAGGCUGAAAACACAAUAAGAACAGAAAAUAGAUUAGAUAAUGAUUCAGCACAAGUAGAAAUAAAGAAAGAAUUGACAGUAAGAAAUUAAAAGAUAAGUCCUAAGAAGCCUUGAAAUCUCGAAAGAUCUCACAACUCCCUUCAAACAGCUCUAAUCUCCCCUCCAAAUAAUAUCAAUGGCAAGAAGAAGGUUGAAGAUGGCUCCCACAAUCCCAAGAUUGUUGAAACAACUUCUAAAGAAAACUCAAGAGAAAAAUCUUGGAGAAAACUCAAAGAAAAUUCUGCUCUCAACAAAUCUGAAAUUUUAAUAAUAAUGAUAAGUGUUUAACAAGGUGGACAGCCAUGCCUUUAAAUAGGCCUUAUAACUAGUCCUAAUCUAAUUAGAAAACUAAAAUAAAAAAAACUCCUAAUUAUUUUAAUAUGGAAAUUUGGUCAAAGGUCAUUUUAUCUAGGACUCUUGGACUGAAUAUUGACAUAAAAAUUUAAACUAAGUAAAUAAAUAAAUAAAUAAAAAUAAAAUAAAACUUUACAACUUGGGCCACUUUGACAAUUUGGCCUGAUUUUCAACUAAGUAUGGAUGGAUUUCUUGAUUGGGCUGGGAAUUUGCUUAUUGGGCCUCGCCUUCAAGAAUUUGGGCUUUUGUGACUCGUAUCAAUCAAGAUUUCAAAUCUUGGAAAUCUUGGUCCAAGAAAUCGAAUCUUGCAGCUAAAGCGCAUUGGACCUCCGUUACGAGCAUCAACGAACCAAUUUCGGUAGGAGAUGGACUACAAGCCCAAGUUCUUGAAGGCAAGGCCCAACAAGAUGAUUCCAAGCCCAACCAAGAAGUCAAACCAUACUUAGUUGAAAAUCAGGCCAAAUUGUUAAAGUGGCCCAAUUUGUAAAAGAUUUAAUUGUUUAAAUAUCUAGUUUAAUUUUUAGACUUUAGGAUUAUUAUAUGUCAAAAUUCGACCCAAGCAGCCCAUUAAAAUGCCUUGGCCGAAUUUCUCUCUUAAUUUAUUAAUUAGGUUUUUUUAAGUUUUCCUAAUGAGAUUAGGAAAUAGAUAGAAGGCCUAUUAAUAGGCAUGGCCGGCCACCCUAUUGAAUACAUUACCAUACAUUAAAUUUUUAGUUUUUGCUAAGUAUCAAAUUCUCUUAGAGUUUUCUCCAAGAAUUCUCUCUUGAGUUUCUUUAGAAGUAGUUUUAACAAUCUUUUUGAUUGUGGGAGCCAUCUUCAGCCUUCUUCUUGCCAUUGUUCUUCAUUAGAGGGGAGAUUAGAGCCGUUUGAAGGGAGUUGUGAAAUCUUUUGGGAUUUCAAGGCUUCUUAGGACUUUUCUUUAUUUUAUUGAUGUCCGUUUCUUUUAAUUUCUUUGUUGUUUGCGUCAAACUCAUUGAUUAAUCCUUUAAUUUCUUUCUUGUGAUUCCAGCUAUCAAAAUCUUCAAGGAUCUGUUCGGUGUUCUUAUUGGAAGCAAGAAGCGUUCAUUAAUUCCUCAUUCAAUUGAUCUUGUCGGCUACAUGAUGUGAUCCGACUCUUUUGAUUGAGUCGAUUCAAUUGAUUGCCUGAUCGUCGACGAGAAGUUUGUUUGAUUUUGUAGAUAAUGGAGUUAGAUGAUUUUUUAUAGCGGAAGUUGAGAAAAUGGGUUCAAAAGAUGGUUUGGGUAGAUGUUUGAUAGGCUCGGUGAAAUAAAGAAAUAUUGUUUAUAAUUUAAUAGUUAAAAUAGAAUGGAAAAAUAGAACUCAAGCGAAGAACGAUUCAAUACUAUAUGAAGUAUUGCCCCGGGACUUAUAUUGCUUAAGGUGGGUUUAAUGGAUUGUCGAGGAUGGACCUUGACCCGUUACCUAUAGAAAGGUAGGAACCAAAGGUAUAAAAAAGUGGAUGAACGCCACACCAGGAUGGUGAUAAGUUCAAGAAGUCGGGUUGACGCCACUAGCGAGCUAGAUAAGUCAGAACGAGACUCGUACGAAAUAGGAUAGGAGGAAACCUCACAAUCAAGUUUUCAAUAAUCAAAUUUUGUAACCUUUUGCAAUAAACAAGUAAGCUAUUUAUAAGCCUAAAAUGCCUAUUGAUAUUCAGCAUCUAUGUUGUUCACACUAACUUAAAUUCUGUUCACACAGGUAUUUAACAUGUUCACACAAAUAGCAUUAAAAUCCAGUUCAUGCUUGAAGAUGGUACAUGAAUUGGCCGAACCAUCAUGAUGCUUCACUUGAUGCAUUCAUGCAUCCUUAGCCUUGAAGAAUCUCCAUAAUUCCAUGAAUGUGCAGCUCUUUAAUGAUCCUACAUCUCCCUUGGUUGAAUGAGGCAUUAAUGUGCCUAAAAUACUUGAAUGGUCAUCUUGAAAAUGCAUGAAUCAUGCAUGAAACGUCCCAUGUAUUUUCCCCCAUAAAUAUGAUCCAUGAAUCUUCAAAUACAUGAACUUUUAGCAACUCCCUCUUGCAUGAACGUCCCAAAUGCAUGUGCUCCUUUAAAUGCCAUCCAUUGAACCUCAAUUGUUCAUGCACACUCCCAUACAUUGCACCAAUCCGUUCAUGAACCUGCAGCAAAUUAAAUCAGCAAGUUAAAUGCAUUUCAAACACAUUAAAUUAGCAGCAUAUGAACUCAAUAAUUUGCACAUUAAAUUUGGCCAUACAUAUUAACAAUUUUAGACAUAUUUAAAACAUCAUAAUUAAUUAAGUAUUUAAUUUAGAUAUAAUUAAAACACUUAAUUAAUUAUUUGUCCAGAUUUUAACAAAUUAACUAACUUAAGAUAAACAACUAAUUUAACUAAUGACAAAUUAAAUGGUUUAUUUCAGCAAAAUAAAUGCAAGCUAAAGAAAGCUAAAAAUAAGCUCAUUGGGUUAAGAUUGAGCUGAAUUGAGCUUGAGUGAGUUGACUUGAGCUCGAGUGAGCUGGAAACGUGCUAAACGGAGCUUAACGAAAUGAAAUUGAACUAAUUCAGCUCGCAUGGAUUUGCAAACAAUGCUUAGGGAGCUGAUCCAAAAGUGUGCCCGGGGCAUGGUCGUAUCAUCCCCUCCCUCUUUAAAGCGAUUUGUCCCCAAAUCGGGCCAUUUACUCGCGAAAAAUCGUUGAAGAUUCUGAAAGCCACAAUUAACUCGGAUCAAAAGAAGCUCAUUCGCAUGCCCUCCCUCUUUAGGAGGGUACCACAUCACAUUGUCACCUUUAAAAGAACAAAACGAAUUAGUGACACGAUGAAGAUUAAACACAAAGGAACUUUUUGAGAUUUGAUUCACAGUUUGAACAAAUAAUCCAAUACCGGGGUCGAAAAUAGAAAUCGUUCUUACCUUUUUCUUCGAUGGAAACAAACAUAAAUCACAAGGCAUUUGAUAGCUAUGGUUUUGGAAGUCAACUUUCCAUGGUUCGAUUACCUUAGGCAAUGAUAUAGAAUGGUGUUUUCCGGGGUCAAAGACAAAAUUUUCUCUUGCAAUUUCAAUUUGAUUUGGCAAUUUCAUGACCGACUUCAUAGAAGCACUAAGCAACUCAAAAUCAUUAUCAUUCAAAACAUGUUCGGAUCUUUUAGUCCACAGUUGAGAACAUCCUCCGAAAACAAAAUUUUGAUUUUGACUUAACAAACCAACAAGAUUCACAUGGCUCAUUUUCAAACUUAAAGACAAAGUAUCAUACAAACAAAGAUUGUUUACACAUUCAUUCAAACAAAUUUUACGAUGCUUGCUUUCUUUCAUGGAUGAUUCAUAAUAGCAAACUCCAAGAUUAAAGACAUGAUUUUGACUACUCGAUCCAAAUGGCAAAAAGAGUCCUUUUAUCUCCAACAAUUUACACAAAUUAAACAACGAGGGUGUUAACAUACUCAAAUUCAAACAAUCAAACCCUUUAAAUUUCAUUUGAAAAGAUUUACAAAAACAUGGAAAUUUCACACCAAAAAUUAGAUAAUCCACAUGAUCAACACAACCAAGCAGAUGAUAUGUCAACUUUUGAUCACACAAUUCCAGAUUUUGUUGGUGCAGAUUUAUUCGCUCUUCAUCAAAAAUCUUGCCAAUGGCAUAUUCAUCAAUACAUUUCCAUUCCUUUUCAACAUGAUCAGUGAGAAUGAACAUUUUAUAUGGACUUUCAUCUUGCGCAUCCAAAACAUGCAUUCCAUUGCAAGUUAAAGAUAAACAACCAAUACCAUCAAAAUGAUAUUUUUCAAAAGCAAGAAUCUUCUUAUCAUUAGACAAAACAAAUGGAUCAUCAUCAAUCAAAGAAUGACAAAUAGCCACGUCAAAGUUCAGAUUCUUUCUAAAGACCAAAUCAUCAACAGUGUGUCCAUCAACAAUCGAGUAAGGCAGAAGUGCUUUAAAAUUUUCAACAUUCAUACCUUGCUUACCUUUUGGCAUAGGCGAACUAGGAUCGUUGAGAACAUCACCUUUUUCAGCCAAAAUGAACCUUCUCUCCUUCGAGAGGUAUUGGAGUUGAAAAUUAUCGUCACUUGGCCUUCCGGAGACCUGAAAAGAGGAAACAAAACAAGACAAAUUCUCAUGUGGUUUAGUAAAUAGAUUCCUCACUUUUUCUUGCUCUUUUGCCUCCUUUUCUCUCGUUUUUUUUUUCUAACUCAUUGUCUUUUCUUUCUUUUUCAAUUUUCUCUUUUUCCUCACACUUUUGUUCAAUCUCAAUUUCUUUUUCGAUUUCUUUCUCUUUUUUACAUCCUUUUUCAAUCUCAAUUUCUUUUUCCAUGACACUCGUUUCUUUUACACUCUCGUUUCUUUCUUCAAUCUCACUCUCUUUUUCAAUUUCUUAUUCCUUUUCUUUCAUUUCUUUUUUUCGUCUCUCGAUUUCAUUCCAUAUAUGCUCAUUUUCUCUCAUCAACAUUUCUUGUCUUUCCUUUCUUCUUAUUUCUUUUUCUUUUUGCCUCGCUCUUUCAUUAUAGGAUGGAGAUGUUACAAAUGAAUCAGCACGAAAUGACUCUCGUUGGGUAUAAUUGGAACGACUUUCAUACAAAAAAUGAUCACCUCUUCGAGAUUGAUUCCUGGCGGAUGAAUACCUCGAUGCAUACGAAGGACUACUUGUGAUUUCUCGUUCGUCACCUCGGAAAGCUUUAAACUCAAAACUUGCUUUGCUUCGUCUUGAGUUCCUCGUUGAAUAAGAAUCAUGGUAUGAAUCUCUUCCCAAAAAAUCAAUGGAUGUGUGCCUUCGUGAUGAUCUUGUCUCCGUCUCUUCACCCGGUGAGUUUGGCUUCCAUCGGGCUCUUUCCUCCACUCGAUCCAAUCGAUCAUGCAAUUUAUCAAAUUUUGAUUUCACCAUUCUAUGCAUCUCUUGCAUCAAAUAUUGGAAUUCUGAUUCGGGAAAUGUUUCUCGAGACAUGAUUAAGUAAUGACAAGAAGAUGUUAAAAAAAAUAAUAAAGAAAAUAAAUACCUUACCACAAACCUCACAAAUUUGCUCGAAAAGGAAAUAAUGAUUUUCACUCGCACUCGUGUUAACAUUCAAAUUUUGGCUUUUUCUUUGAUGUAAUUUCACUCGUGCCUUUUCCACUCAACCUCUUCUCACAAUUUCGUGAUUUGUCUCGGUAGACUUAAUUUGCUGCUUGAGGGUCGGUUUCAAAUUGGUUACAAGGGAUAAUGUUGGGUGUAGGGUAGGCUGAAUAAAGAAGAAAAUUGGUUUAAAGUGUGGCGUUGGGAUGGGUAAAUAAUGGUAGGAAGGGAAACUUGAUGAUCAGAGUAAUAAGUGAUAAUGAUAAAAACUCGCAAGACUUUUCACUUUUUUUCUUUCUUCUUUUUUUUAACUCGAUUUUUUUGUCACUUCUUUUUUUUUCCUUUUUUUUUGAAAUUUUUUUCUGAAUUUCUUCUCUUUUUUUUUUAAAUCCAAUACAAUAGUAAACAAAAUACAAGGAAGAGAAAAAAAAUUAAAUUCCAACUCAAUUUUUUUUUGAUUUUUUUUGACUUUUUUUUACGUUACGAACCUAUUCCGAGCUUGAUACGAACAUCGGUACUCCUCGUUUUAGUAGCUCUGAUACCAAAUGAUGUGAUCCGGCUCGAUUGAUUGAGUCGAUUCACUUGAUUGCCCGAUCGUCGACGAGAAGUUUGUUUGAUUUUGUAGAUAGAUGGAGUUAGAUGAUUUUUUAUAGCGGAAGUUGAGAAAAUGGGUUCAAAAGAUGGUUUGGGUAGAUGUUUGAUAGGCUCGGUGAAAUAAAGAAAUAUUGUUUAUAAUUUAAUAGUUAAAAUGGAAUGGAAAAAUAGAACUCAAGCGAAGAACGAUUCAAUACUAUAUGAAGUAUUGCCCCGGGACUUAUAUUGCUUAAGGUGGGUUUAAUGGAUUGUCGAAGAUGGACCUUGACCCAUUACCUAUAGAAAGGUAGGAACCAAAGGUAUAAAAAGGUGGAUGAACGCCACACCAGGAUGGUGAUAAGUUCAAGAAGUCGGGUUGACGCCACUAGCGAGCUAGAUAAGUCAGAACGAGACUCGUACGAAAUAGGAUAGGAGGAAACCUCACAAUCAAGUUUUCAAUAAUCAAAUUCUGUAACCUUUUACAAUAAACAAGUAAGCUAUUUAUAAGCCUAAAAUGCCUAUUGAUAUUCGGCAUCUAUGUUGUUCACACUAACUUAAAUUUUGUUCACACAGGUAUUUAACAUGUUCACACAAAUAGCAUUAAAAUCCAGUUCAUGCUUGAAGAUGGUACAUGAAUUGGCCGAACCAUCAUGAUGCUUCACUUGAUGCAUUCAUGCAUCCUUAGCCUUGAAGAAUCUCCAUAAUUCCAUGAAUGUGUAGCUCUUUAAUGAUCCUACAUCUCCCUUGGCUGAAUGAGGCAUUAAUGUGCCUAAAAUACUUGAAUGGUCAUCUUGAAAAUGCAUGAAUCAUGCAUGAAACGUCCCAUGUAUUUUCCCCCAUAAAUAUGAUCCAUGAAUCUUCAAAUACAUGAACUUUUAGCAACUCCCUCUUGCAUGAACGUCCCAAAUGCAUGUGCUCCUUUAAAUGCCAUCCAUUGAACCUCAAUUGUGCAUGCACACUCCCAUACAUUGCACCAAUCCGUUCAUGAACCUGCAGCAAAUUAAAUCAGCAAGUUAAAUGCAUUUCAAACACAUUAAAUUAGCAGCAUAUGAACUCAAUAAUUUGCACAUUAAAUUUGGCCAUACAUAUUAACAAUUUUAGUCAUAUUUAAAACAUCAUAAUUAAUUAAGUAUUUAAUUUAGAUAUAAUUAAAACACUUAAUUAAUUAUUUGUCCAGAUUUUAACAAAUUAACUAACUUAAGAUAAACAACUAAUUUAACUAAUGACAAAUUAAAUGGUUUAUUUCAGCAAAAUAAAUGCAAGCUAAAGAAAGCUAAAAAUAAGCUCAUUGGGUUAAGAUUGAGCUGAAUUGAGCUUGAGUGAGUUGACUUGAGCUCGAGUGAGCUGGAAACGAGCUAAACGGAGCUUAACGAAAUGAAAUUGAACUAAUUCAGCUCGCAUGGAUUUGCAAACAAUGCUUAGGGAGCUGAUCCAAAAGUGUGCCCGGGGCAUGGUCGUAUCACUGCACAUCCUAGAUUUUGUUCUUGCCGUCCAAACUCUAUCUUUCAUUCAAUCGAUUUGCUGCACUUUAACAUUAACUUGCUGUUUUUGAUUAUUCUUCUCAGAUUUGGCAGAUUGGGAUUUAAUUCGAUUUCAAACCGUGUUCUUUGCGUCCAAGAUUUUUUAUUCUUAAGAGUGUUUGUUUCUUGUUGUGCAUUGAUUGAUUUGGGGAUUUUAAUUUCAGAUCUAAUCAUAUUUAAUUUUAAUUCUCUGUUCGUUUCAGAUCUGAUCAUCUAGAACUUCGUAGGAGUUUUCUCGUGACUUGGCAACUCGAUCUUGGUCCGCGCACAACCCCCUAUCAUUUGGUUUUAGAUUUUGGGCGUUUUGGGUGUUCUUGGUUGAGUUCUAAAUUGAUCUCUAUUUUUUAAACUACAAACAGCAGUUUUACCCAGAAAAAUUUUUGGAAAAAAAUUCAUUCGAGUGGGUAAACAUUUUUCGAUUGAUCUGAAAUUUUACAUUCAUAUUUGUGGAACUUUUAUUGAAUAAUAAAAAAUAUUUCCCACAAAAUAAUUUGUCGAAAAAGUAAAAAAAUUGAAAAAGACGAAAUCCAAUAAAAAUUUUAAAAAAAUAUUCAGCGGGUUGAGUUUAGUGCCAAAACUUUCCAAAUCAAAAAUUAAAUAUUUAAGAACAUUCCAGAUUUAAUUUCGUGAUUUUUGGAGAUUGGGAACACCUCGAACAAAGUUGUCAAGUUACUCCGCAGUUUUUCAGGUUUUUAGAUUUCAGCAAUUUUUAUUGAUUCUUAGCUGUAGGUUUUCAUUUGUUUUGCCUUUAUUCUCCCUUUACACUAUCUAAAACCUUCUUGUUUCUUGUGUUAGUAGGAUUUUAAGGUGUGCACAAUUCUUCAUCGGUGCGACACAAAUUAAUUUGUGUCUCGUCAGUUUUGGCAUCCUAGUGCAAAUUAGGAUUCUUUGGUAGUUUCGGUUCAUAAACUUUCUAAUUGGUUGAUAUAGAAUCUACUAAAGAACUCACAAGACUGAAUUCUACCUCUUUGAGAAUUUGAUUUUUUUUCUUUUUGAGUGAUUAACGGUGAGGUUUGCUAAUUUUCCUUUUUGAGUGUUGGGUGUUUGUUUUGUAGGUUUUUGAAAAAAGAAAAAAAAUGUCGAGAGUUGGUGAUGACCAUAGUAAUGUCCAUGAUAAAUUUAAAAAGAUCCAACAAUAGUUAGACGACGGGCUGCCUUACUUCGAACAUUGAGUGCUACUAUCAAUAAGAUGCGAUGGGAUCAAGAGCCUCAGUAUCGGGGUCCAAUUAAAGAGGAUGUGGAUAACCAGCCUCGUGCUCAUAGGCACGCUCCUAGACGUGUCCCUAGAACUAACUAUGACGUUCAUGAUCGCGGACAACCCUCUUUGGCAAAACCAAAGAGUGAGCAGCAACGAGAACAACUCUUUCAUACUCGCUGCCAUGUACAAGGUAAGGUUUGUAGAGUUAUUAUUGAUGGUGAAAGUUGCUCCAACGUAGCCAGCACGACGAUGGUGGAAAAGCUUUGCUUAACCACUACCAAGCAUCCACGACCUUAUCAACUACAAGGGCUUAGCAACGAAGGCCAAUUUAAGGUGCAUCGCCUUUUCUAUCGGCAAGUAUCAAGACGAAGUCGUGUGCGACGUAGUGCCUAUUCAAGCCUGCCAUUUGUUGCUAGGAGAACCAUGGCAAAGCGAUCGAAAGGUCACCCAUGAUGGUCGUACCAAUAGGUAUUCUUUCAAGCAUCAAGGAAAGAAAGUCACCUUAGUGCCACUCACUCCGGAACAAGUCCAUGAGGACCAAAUCAAACUGAAAAAGUCUGUUGUUAAAACAAGUAAGGAAAAAGAAAAAGAAGAAGAGAAAAAUAAAAGUGAAAAAGAAGAAAAUGAAAAUGAAAAAGGCAAAAAGGAAAGCGAGAGAGAAACAAAAGAAAAUGUGAAUGAAGUGAGUGAAAAAGAGAGAGCUUAAACAAGGAAUGAGUGAAGAAGAAGAGAGUGCUCAAACACAAGGGAGGAAUAUUUUUGCUAACCCGCAUUUGAAAUCGCCUUGUGAUUUCUCUUUGUUUUAAGUUUGCAAUAUUCCACCCAUGGACAGGUUCCAGCUUCAUUACCCUUCUACCGAGAGACGUUUUUAAUUGAUUGAACAAGGUUUCAUAAUUAGUGCUCAAGGUAUUCUUGUCGAUGAGGACAAAGUUAAGGCAAUCAAGGAGUGGCCAACUCUUAAAUCGAUAACUGAGGUGAGAUCUUUCCAUGGUUUAGCUAGUUUUUAUAGACGAUUUGUGAAAGAUUUCUCCACUAUUGCUGAGUUGGUGAAAUCCUUACACGAGAAGGCUAGGCAGCAAAUAGCCAAAACAAAUGACAUCAACACCAACAAAGCAAAUAAGAGGAGCAAACGGGUUGUCUUUGAACCCGGAGACUAGGUUUGGAUCCAUAUGAGGAAAGAACGAUUUCCUACAGAAAGAAAGACUAAAUUGGACCCAAGGGGCGAUGGGCCUUUCCAAGUACUCGAGCGGAUCAACGAAAAUGCCUAUAAUUGAUCUACCUAGUGAGUACAAUGUAAGUUCUACUUUUAAUGUGGCUGACUUGUCCCCAUUUGAUUUUUCAGAUUCGAGGACGAAUCUUUUUGAGGAAGGAAGGAAUGAUACGAGUCACAAAGGCCCAAACCAGCUCAAGAACGUGAUGGGCUCAAAUUACCACAAGGCCCAAUAAUGAGGUCAAAGGCCAAACAAAUGUGUUCCAAACUAAAUGGGACCAUUCAGGAAUUUGUUAGCAAGGCCUUAGAUGCGUACACGAAAGAAAGAGAAAAUCAAGAUUCAUUUUCUUAUUUUCAAGAAAAUCAAGAAACUGAAUCUUGGCCCAAAUUUGCUAUUUGGAGCAAUUUCAAGAAUCAAGAAAAUCAAGAUUUUAAAUCUUGGAAAUCUUAGUCCAAGAAACCGAAUCUUGCAGCUAAAGCGCAUUGGACCUCCGUUACGAGCAUCAACGAACCAAUUUCGGUAAGAGAUGGACUACAAGCCCAAGUUCUUGAAGGCAAGGCCCAAUAAGAUUAUUCCAAGCCCAACCAAAUAGGAUUAUUAUAUGUUAAAAUUUUUAGACUUUAAUUGUUUAAAUAUCUAGUUUAAAUAUCUAGUUUAAAUGAGAUUUUAAACUAGUUUAAUUGUUUAAAUAUCUAGUUUAAUUUUUAGACUUUAGGAUUAUUAUAUGUUAAAAUUCAGCCCAAGUAGCCCAUUAAAAUGCCUUGGCCGAAUUUCCCUCUUAAUUUAUUAAUUAGGUUUUUUUAAGUUUUCUUAAUGAGAUUAGGAAAUAGAUAGAAGGCCUAUUAAUAGGCAUAGUCGGCCACCCUAUUAAAUACAUUACCAUACAUUAAAUUUUCAGUUUUUGCUGAGUAUCAAAUUCUCAUAGAGUUUUCUCCAAGAAUUCUCUCUUGAGUUUCUUUAGAAGUAGUUUUAACAAUCUUUUUGAUUGUGGGAGCCAUCUUCAGCCUUCUUCUUGCCAUUGUUCUUCAUUGGAGGGGAGAUUAGAGCCGUUUGAUGGGAGUUGUGAAAUCUUUCAGGAUUUCAAGGCUUCUUAGGACUUUUCUUUAUUUUAUUGCUGUUCGUUUCUUUUAAUUUCUUUGUUGUUUGUGUCAAACUCAUUGAUUAAUCCUUUAAUUUCUUUGUUGUGAUUCCAGCUAUCAAAAUCUUCAAGGAUCUAUUCAGUGUUCUUAUUGGCAGCAAGAAGCGUUCAUUAAUUCCUCUUUCAAUUGAUCUUGUCUGCUGCACAUCCUAGAUUUUAUUCUUGCCGUCCAAACUCUAUCUUUUAUUCAAUCGAUUUGCUGCACUUUAACAUUAACUUGCUGUUUGUGAUUAUUCUUCUCAGAUUCAGAAGAUUGGGAUUUAAUUCAAUUUCAAAUCCGUGUUCUUUGCGUCCAAGAUUUGUAUUUCUUAAGAGCGUUUGUUUCUUGCUGUGCAUUGAUUGAUUUGGGGAUUUUAAUUUCAGAUCUAAUCGGAUUUAAUUUUAAUUCUCUGUUCGUUUUAGAUCUGACCGUCUAGAACUUCUGAUACGGGGUUACGCGCGGACCAAGAUCGAGUUGCCAAGUCACGAGAAACUCCUACGAAAAUCCUAAACAAUUAGAUCUGAAACGAAACAGAAAAUUAAAAGAUUAGAUUUUUAAAUUUUCAGAUCUAAAAUAAAAUCCCCAAAUCAGCAAAGAAUCAAAUUGAGAAUAGAAAUAAGUGUUAGGGUUCUUGAAACCCUCAAGGAGAUUGUGAUUCUGCCCAAUUGAACACCAAGAUAGUUUUCCCCAAAUUUCGACAAUCUAAUUUCACCCAAAAAGAGUAUGGAAAAACCCUAGAAAUUGGGGAUUUUUGGGCUGAUUCCUUAAGAUAGAAAAAGGCUGAAAACACAAUAAGAACAGAAAAUAGAUUAGAUAAUGAUUCAGCACAAGUAGAAAUAAAGAAAGAAUUGACAGUAAGAAAUUAAAAGAUAAGUCCUAAGAAGCCUUGAAAUCUCGAAAGAUCUCACAACUCCCUUCAAACGGCUCUAAUCUCCCCUCCAAAUAAUAUCAAUGGCAAGAAGAAGGUUGAAGAUGGCUCCCAGAAUCCCAAGAUUGUUAAAACAAAUUCUAAAGAAAACUCAAGAGAAAAAUCUUGGAGAAAACUCAAAGAAAAUUCUGCUCUCAACAAAUCUGAAAUUUUAAUAAUAAUGAUAAGUGUUUAACAAGGUGGACAGCCAUGCCUUUAAAUAGGCCUUAUAACUAGUCCUAAUCUAAUUAGAAAACUAAAAUAAAAAAAACUCCUAAUUAUUUUAAUAUGGAAAUUUGGUCAAAGGUCAUUUUAUCUAGGACUCUUGGACUGAAUAUUGACAUAAAAAUUUAAACUAAGUAAAUAAAUAAAUAAAUAAAAAUAAAAAUAAAACUUUACAACUUGGGCCACUUUGACAAUUUGGCCUGAUUUUCAACUAAGUAUGGAUGGAUUUCUUGAUUGGGCUGGGAAUUUGCUUAUUGGGCCUCGCCUUCAAGAAUUUGAGCUUUUGUGACUCGUAUCAUUCCCCCUUCCUCAAAAAGAUUCGUCCUCGAAUCUGAAAAAUCAAAUGAACUCGACUUUCCUCUAUCGAACGAGACUAAUGGCAAUUGAGUCCACUGAGAAGAAUAGCCAUGAGAUAGUAAAUAGCAACGGAAAUAAGCUUGUAGUCCAAUCAUAAGCAUAAUAAAACAGGUAUAACGCAUGUGAAUGGACAGAUUCAGAUUACCAUGCAAACAAUCUAAUUUACUCACCACUGCCUCGUCAAAUAUUUGAAACAAAGAUGGACAUAUUUUAAGGCAUUCAGUCGUCUCACAUUGUUCCCACAAACCAUGAAUAAAUUGCGAAUAAUAAAUCAAAUGGUAAACAUAAUCAUCACAAGUAGGUAUUUGAAAAGAUUCACAUGGUUCACAGAGUUGCAUAAUCAUACCAUGCAUUAAUCGACGGUCUAUAGAUUCACUCACACAUGCAUUAUCAAAAACAAGAAUCUUUUUAUCAACCAUCAAAACAGAUAGAUCAUCAAUAAAUAAAAUAGGACAGUCAAGCACGUUUCGAUCUAAGUGUUCAUCAACACGAUCUUUAUCACUAUCCGAGGAGUACAAAAGUGUUUCAAAGGUUUCAAGCAUCUUACCUCGAUAAGCAGAAGAAUAAGGGUCGAUUUUACCUUUUUCAUUUAAAACAAACCUUCGCUCAUCGGGGGCAUAGUGUAGUCGAAUCUUCGUUGUUGAGUUAACGUUUGUCAAAUGGAACUCAAACUUCAUGUACAACCACAUAAACUGUUUAAGGCACGAAUAUAUUGAAAACAAAUUUGGAAAAUUUCGUUACCUUAUUCUCCAAAACAGAUUUGGAUAAAUUCAAGGAUUUUACACAAGGUAAAUCAAGAGAAUAACAAAUCACGCUUCUUUUCGUAAUGACUUUAUCAACCACAAUCGAAGAGUAACAAUUAAUCGAAUCAAAAUGAGGGGAUCUUUUAAGAACUAAGUCACCAAAAGUUUUAUCAAUAAUUUUCAAAUCUGCACUGGACUCGGUUUCUAAAAUUUCCUUACCUCGCUUACCUUCGGGAUCAUGUAGUGUGAUUUCAUCUUUACUUAAGUUGAUCGUAUGAAAGCGUCUUUCAUUUGAGAGGUAUUGAAGUUGAAAGUUAUCUUUCAAUCUUUCGGGAACCUGAAAAGUAGCAACACAAGAAAAAUUCAUAUCUUGGUUAGUGGAAACAUUCCUCACUACCCUUUCCACGUCUUUUUCUUUUGUUUCUUUUUCUAAUUCAUUUUCUCUUCUUUCUUCAAUUUCUUUUUCACUCUCAAUCUCUUUUUGCUCUUUUUCAUUCUCUUUCUCUUUUUCCUCACUUGUUUUAACAGAAUUUUUCAGUUUGAUUUGGUCCUCAUGGACUUGUUCCAGAGUGAGCGGCACUAAGGUGAGUUUCUUUCCUUGAUGCUUGAAAGAAUACCUAUUGGUACGACCAUCGUGAGUGACUUUUCGAUCCAGUUGCCACGGUUCUCCUAGCAACAAAUGGCAGGCUUGAAUAGGCAUUACGUCGCACACAACUUCGUCUUGAUACUUACCGAUAGAAAAGGCGAUGCGCACUUGUUGAGUGACCUUAUAUUGGCCUUCGUUGCUAAGCCCUUGUAGUUGAUAAGGUUGUGGAUGCUUGGUAGUGGUUAAGCAACCUUUUCCACCAUCGUUGUGCUGGCUAUGUUCGAGCAACUUUCACCAUCAAUAAUAACUCUACAAAGCUUACCUUGUACGUGGCAGCGAGUAUGAAAGAGAUGUUCUCGUUGCUGCUCGCUCUUUGGUUUUGCCAAAGAUGAUUGUCCAUGAUCAUGACAAUCAUCAUCCAUUCUAGGGACACGUUGAGGGUUGCGCCUAUGGGGCUGGUUAUUCCUAUCUUCUUUGAUUGGAUUUCGAUAUUGAGGUUCUUGAUUCAAUUGCACCUCAUUGAUGGUAGUAGUCAAAGCUCGAAGGGUAGCAUUUAUUUGUGUGAUUGCAGCAGCGUGUCCUUCUAACUGUUGUUGGACUUCCAUAAGUGUAUCAUUAUGGUCAUCUUUAGACAUCUUCCAAAAAAGCUGCAAAAAUAAACACUCAACACUCAAAAAUAAAAGUUAGCAAACCUCACCGUUAAUCACUCAAAAAGAAAAUUCAAAUUCUCAAUGAGGUAGAAUUCAAUCUUAUGAGUUCUUUAUCAAAGUUUAUAUCAACCAAUUAGAGAGUGGAUGAACCGAUCUACCAAAGAAUCCUAAUGUGCACUAGGAUGCCAAAAACUGACGAGACACCAAUUGAUUCAUGUUGCACCGAGGAAGAAUUGGGCACACGUUUAAAUCCUACUAACACAAAAAACAAGAAGGUGUUAGAUAUUGUAAAGGGAGAAUAAAAAGCAAACAAAUGAAAACAUACAGCUAAGAAUCAAUAAAAAUUGUUGAAAAUAGAAAACCCGAAAAACUGCGGAGUAACUUGACAACUUCGUUCGAGGUGUUCCCGAUAUCAAAAAAUCACAAAAUUAAAUCUGGAAUGUCUUCAAAUAAUUAAUUUUUGAUCUGGAAAAUUUGGGCACCAAAUUCAACCCGCUGAAUAUUUUUUUAAUUUUUAUUGGAUUUCGUCUUUUUUCAAUUUUUUAACUUUUUCGACUUAUUUAUUUGUGGGAAAUAUUUUUGUAUAUUCAAUAACAGUGCCAAAAAUAUGUAUGUAAAAUUUCAGAUCAAUCAGAAAAUGUUUACCCACUCAAAUGAAUUUUUUUCGAAAAUUUUUCUGGGUAAAACUGCUGUUUGUAAUUUAAAAAAUAGAGAUCAGUUUAGAAAUCAACCAAGAACACCCAAAACGCCCAAAAUCUGAUACCAAAUGAUACGGGGUUACGCGCGGACCAAGAUCGAGUUGCCAAGUCACGAGAAACUCCUACGAAAACCCUAAACAAUUAGAUCUGAAACGAAACAGAAAAUUAAAAGAUUAGAUUUUUGAAUUUUCAGAUCUGAAAUAAAAUCUCCAAAUCAGCAAAGAAUCAAAUUGAGAAUAGAAAUAAGUGUUAGGGUUCUUGAAACCCUCAAGGAGAUUGUGAUUCUGCCCAAUUGAACACCAAGAUAGUUUUCCCCAAAUUUCGACAAUCUAAUUUCACCCAAAAAGAGUAUGGAAAAACCCUAGAAAUUGGGGAUUUUUGGGCUGAUUCCUUAAGAUAGAAAAAGGCUGAAAACACAAUAAGAACAGAAAAUAGAUUAGAUAAUGAUUCAGCACAAGUAGAAAUAAAGAAAGAAUUGACAGUAAGAAAUUAAAAGAUAAGUCCUAAGAAGCCUUGAAAUCUCGAAAGAUCUCACAACUCCCUUCAAACGGCUCUAAUCUCCCCUCCAAAGAAUAUCAAUGGCAAUAAGAAGGUUGAAGAUUGCUCCCACAAUCACAAGAUUGUUAAAACAACUUCUAAAGAAAACUCAAGAGAGAAAUCUUGGAGAAAACUCAAAGAAAAUUCUGCUCUCAACAAAUCUGAAAUUUUAAUAAUAAUGAUAAGUGUUUAACAAGGUGGACAGCCAUGCCUUUAAAUAGGCCUUAUAACUAGUCCUAAUCUAAUUAGAAAACUAAAAUAAUAAAAAAACUCCUAAUUAUUUUAAUAUGGAAAUUUGGUCAAAGGUCAUUUUAUCUGGGACUCUUGGACUGAAUAUUGACAUAAAAAUUUAAACUAAGUAAAUAAAUAAAUAAAUAAAUAAAAAUAAAAAUAAAACUUUACAACUUGGGCCACUUUGACAAUUUGGCCUGAUUUUCAACUAAGUAUGGAUGGAUUUCUUGAUUGGGCUGGGAAUUUGCUUAUUGGGCCUCACCUUCAAGAAUUUGGGCUUUUGUGACUCGUAUCAACUUCGUAGGAGUUUCUCGUGACUUGGUAACUCGAUCUUGGUCCACGCACAACCCCUAUCAGGUUUGGUGGGACCAACUUACGACUAGCUGAAGACGAAAUGGUGAGCGUCCUAUCCAAACAUGGACCGAGAUGAAGGCUGUAAUGCGACGACAUUUUACUCCUUCAUACUACCAUCGAGAGUUGUACCAAAAACUCCAAAAUCUUCCAUAAGGAACGAGGAGUGUGGAGGAUUACUAUAAAGAAAUGGAAGUGGCUAUGAUACGUGCGGAUGUGCAAGAAGACUGUGAGGCCACCAUGGCAUGAUUUUUUGCAAGAUUGAAUCGGGACAUAGCCAAUGUUGUCGAAUUGCAACAUUAUGUGGAGAUCAUCGAUAUGGUUCACAUGGCGAUCAAAGUCGAAAAGCAACUCAAGAUGAAAGGAGCCGUACGUGGUUACUCCUCUUCGAGUGCAUCCAAAUUGACACGAGUCAUAAAGGCCCAACUCAAGCUUAAGAACGUGAUGGACUCAAAUUACCGCAAGGCCCAAUAACGAGGUCAAAGGCCAGACAAAUGCGUUCAAAACUAAAUGGAACCAUUCAAGAAUUUAUUAGCAAGGCCUUAGAUGCGUACACGAAGGAAAAAGAAAAUCAAUAUUCACUUUCUUGUUUUCAAGAAAAUCAAGAAACCGAAUCUUGGUCCAAUUUUGCUGUUUUGAGCGAUUCCAAGAAUCAAGAAAAUCAAGAUUUCAAAUCUUGGAAAUCUUGGUCCAAGAAACCGAAUCUUGCAACGAAGGCGCAUUGGAUCUCCGUUACAAGCAUCAACGAACCAAUUUCGAUAGGAAACAGACUACAAGCCCAAGUUCUUGAAGGUAAGGCCCAAUAAGAUGUCCAAGCCCAAAUCAAGAAAGUUAAAUGAGACUUAGUUCAAAAUUAGGCCAAAUUGUCAAAGUGGCCCAAUUUGUAAAAUUUUAAUUCUUUAAAUACCUAGUUUAAUUUUUAGACUUUAGGAUUACUAUAUAUGUAAAAAUUCAGCCCAACCAGCCCAUUAAAGAAUACAUUAGGUUUUUUUUAGUUUUCCUAAUGAGAUUAGAAAAUUAGAUAGAAGGCCUAUAAAUAGGCAUGGACGGCCACAUUGUUACACAACUUAGAGAAUACAUUGAAAUCAGAUUGCUUUUGUUUGCAAAUUCUCUUGAGUUUUUUCUUCAAGAAUUUUCUCUUGAAUUUUCUUUAGAAGUAGUUUUAACAAUCUUUUUUAUUGUGGGAGCCAUCUUCAACCUUUUUCUUGCCAUUGUUCUUCAUUGGAGGGGAGAUUAGAGCCAUUUGAAGGGAGUUGUGAAAUCUUUCGGGAUUUCAAGGCUUCUUAGGACUUUAUCUUUAUUUUCUUGCUAUUCAAUCUCUUUUUAAUUUCUGCUUAUGUCGAUUUCAUUAUCUAACUUGUUUAAGAUUUCUUGUUGCGUUUCCAGCCUUCUUCAACAUUAAAGAAACUGAUCGAAACCCUUCUUGGCAGUAAGAAUCGAUCAUUAAUUCAUCUUUCCAUUGAUCUUGCCCGUCUAUUCAUCACAAUUCUGAUUAAAUUCGGUUUGUUGGAAUUUGGAGUUUGAUUUGCUGUUUUGGAUGUUAAUCUUUUCAGAUUCAGUUUGGGAAGCUCAUAAUCGUGAUGUUACACACCAAGGCAAGCUUAAUAGAUACUCUCUUGUGUUUAAAGGCCAAAAAUUCACUCUUGCUCCUUUAAAUCCCAGUGAUGUAUAUAAAGAUCAAUUAAAAAUGAUGAAAUUUUGUGAGGGAGUAUGAUACGAGUCACAAAAGCCCAAAUUCUUGAAGGCGAGGCCCAAUAAGCAAAUUCCCAGCCCAAUCAAGAAAUCCAUCCAUACUUAGUUGAAAAUCAGGUCAAAUUGUCAAAGUGGCCCAAGUUGUAAAGUUUUAUUUUUAUUUUUAUUUAUUUACUUACUUAGUUUAAAUUUUUAUGUCAAUAUUCAGUCCAAGAGUCCCAGAUAAAAUGACCUUUGACCAAAUUUCCAUAUUAAAAUAAUUAGGAGUUUUUUUUAUUUUAGUUUUCUAAUUAGAUUAGGACUAGUUAUAAGGCCUAUUUAAAGGCAUGGCUGUCCACCUUGUUAAACACUUAUCAUUAUUAUUAAAAUUUCAGAUUUGUUGAGAGCAGAAUUUUCUUUGAGUUUUCUCCAAGAUUUCUCUCUUGAGUUUUCUUUAGAAGUUGUUUUAACAAUCUUGUGAUUGUGGGAGCCAUCUUCAACCUUCUUCUUGCCAUUGAUAUUCUUUGGAGGGGAGAUUAGAGCCGUUUGAAGGGAGUUGUGAGAUCUUUCGAGAUUUCAAGGCUUCUUAGGACUUAUCUUUUAAUUUCUUACUGUCAAUUCUUUCUUUAUUUCUACUUGUGCUGAAUCAUUAUCUAAUCUAUUUUCUGUUCUUAUUGUGUUUUCAGCCUUUUUCUAUCUUAAGGAAUCAGCCCAAAAAUCCCCAAUUUCUAGGGUUUUUCCAUACUCUUUUUGGGUGAAAUUAGAUUGUCGAAAUUUAGGGAAAACUAUCUUGGUGUUCAAUUGGGCAGAAUCACAAUCUCCUUGAGGGUUUCAAGAACCCUAACACUUAUUUCUAUUCUUUUAUUGAUUCUUAGCUGUAGGUUUUCAUUUGUUUGCUUUUUAUUAUCCUUUUAAAAUAUAUAACACCUUCUUGUUUCUUGUGUUGUAGGAUUUAAACGUGUGCACAAUCCUUCCUCGGUGCAACACGAAUCACUUGGUGUCUCGUCAGUUUUUGGCAUCCUAGUGCAAAUUAGGAUUCUUUGGUAGUUUGGUUCACACUCUCUAAUUGGUUGAUAUAAACUCUGAUAAAGAACUCACAAGAUUGAAUUCAACCUCAUUGAGAAUUUGAUUUUUCUUUUUGAGUGAUUAAUGGUGAGGUUUGCUAACUUUUAUUUUUGAGUGUUGAGUGUUUAUUUUUUACAGGUUUUGAAGAUGUCUAAAGGUGAUAAUAAUGAUGCACUUAUGAAAGUCCAACAACAGUUAGACAGACAUACUGCUGCAAUUACACAAAUAAAUGCUACACUUCAAGCAUUGAAUACUACUUUGAAUGAGGUACGAGUGAAUCAAAAACAUCAAUAUCGAGAUCCAAUUAAGGAAGAUAGGGAUAACCAACCCCAUAGGUGCAACCCUCAACGUGUCCCUAGAAUGGAUGAUGAUUGUCAUGAUCAUGGACAAUCAUCUUUGGCAAAACCAAAGAGCGAGCAGCAACGAGAACAUCUCUUUCAUACUCGCUGCCACGUACAAGGUAAGCUUUGUAGAGUGAUGGUGAAAGUUGCUCGAACAUAGCCAGCACGACGAUGGUGGAAAAGCUUUGCUUAACCACUACCAAGCAUCCACAACCUUAUCAACUACAAGGGCUUAGCAACGAAGGCCAAUUUAGGGUCACUCAACAAGUGCGCAUUGCCUUUUCUAUCGGUAAGUAUAAAGACGAAGUUGUGUGCGACGUAAUGCCUAUUCAAGCCUGCCAUUUGUUGCUAGGAGAACCGUGGCAACUGGAUCGAAAAGUCACUCACGAUGGUCGUACCAAUAGGUAUUCUUUCAAGCAUCAAGGAAAGAAACUCACCUUAGUGCCGCUCACUCUGGAACAAGUCCAUGAGGACCAAAUCAAACUGAAAAAUUCUGUUAAAACAAGUGAGGAAAAAGAAAAAGAGAAUGAAAAAGAGCAAAAAGAGAUUGAGAGUGAAAAAGAAAUUGAAGAAAGAAGAGAAAAUGAAUUAGAAAAAGAAACAAAAGAAAAAGACGUGGACAGGGUAGUGAGGAAUGUUUCCACUAACCAAGAUAUGAAUUUUUCUUGUGUUGCUACUUUUCAGGUUCCCGAAAGAUCGAAAGAUAACUUUCAACUUCAAUACCUCUCAAAUGAAAGACGCUUUCAUACGAUCAACUUAAGCAAAGAUGAAAUCACACUACAUGAUCCCGAAGGUAAGCGAGGUAAGGAAAUUUUAGAAACCGAGUCCAGUGCAGAUUUGAAAAUUAUUGAUAAAACUUUUGCUGACUUAGUUCUUAAAAGAUCCCCUCAUUUUGAUCCGAUUAAUUGUUACUCUUUGAUUGUGGUUGAUAAAGUCAUUACGAAAAGAAGCGUGAUUUGUUAUUCUCUUGAUUUACCUUGUGUAAAAUCCUGGAAUUUGUCCAAAUCUGUUUUGGAGAAUAAGGUAACAAAAUUUUCCAAAUUUGUUUUCAAUUUAUAUUCGUGCCUUAAACAGUUUAUGUGGUUGUACAUGAAGUUUGAGUUCCAUUUGACAAACGUUAACUCAACAACGAAGAUUCGACUACACUAUGCCCCCGAUGAGCGAAGUUUUGUUUUAAAUGAAAAAGGUAAAAUUGACUCUUAUUCUUCUGCUUAUCGAGGUAAGAUGCUUGAAACCUUUGAAACACUUUUGUACUCCUCGGAUAGUGAUAAAGAUCGUGUUGAUGAACACUUAGAUCGAAACGUGCUUGACUGUCCUAUUUUAUUUAUUGAAGAUCUAUCUGUUUUGAUGGUUGAUAAAAAGAUUCUUGUUUUUGAUAAUGCAUGUGUGAGUGAAUCUAUAGACCGUCGAUUAAUGCAUGGUAUGAUUAUGCAACUCUGUGAACCAUGUGAAUCUUUUCAAAUACCUACUUGUGACGAUUAUGUUUACCAUUUGAUUUAUUACUCGCAAUUUAUUCAUGGUUUGUGGGAACAAUGUGAGACGACUGAAUGCCUUAAAACAUGUCCAUCUUUGUUUCAAAUAUUUGACGAGGCAGUGGUGAGUAAAUUAGAUUGUUUGCAUGGUAAUCUGAAUCUGUCCAUUCACAUGCGUUAUACCUGUUCUAUUAUGCUUAUGAUUGGACUACAAGCUUAUUUCCGUUGCUAUUUACUAUCUCAUGGCUAUUCUUCUCAGUGGACUCAAUUGCCAUUAGUCCCGUUCGAUAGAGGAAAGUCGAGUUCAUUUGAUUUUUCAGAUUCGAGGAUGAAUCUUUUUGAGGAAGGGGGGAAUGAUACGAGUCACAAAAGCCCAAAUUCUUGAAGGCGAGGCCCAAUAAGCAAAUUCCCAGCCCAAUCAAGAAAUCCAUCCAUACUUAGUUGAAAAUCAGGCCAAAUUGUCAAAGUGGCCCAAGUUGUAAAGUUUUGUUUUUAUUUUUAUUUAUUUACUUACUUAGUUUAAAUUUUUAUGUCAAUAUUCAGUCCAAGAGUCCCAGAUAAAAUGACCUUUGACCAAAUUUCCAUAUUAAAAUAAUUAGGAGUUUUUUUUAUUUUAGUUUUCUAAUUAGAUUAGGACUAGUUAUAAGGCCUAUUUAAAGGCAUGGCUGUCCACCUUGUUAAACAUUUAUCAUUAUUAUUAAAAUUUUAGAUUUGUUGAGAGCAGAAUUUUUUUGAGUUUUCUCUAAGAUUUCUCUCUUGAGUUUUCUUUAGAAGUUGUUUUAACAAUCUUGUGAUUGUGGGAGCCAUCUUCAACCUUCUUCUUGCCAUUGAUAUUCUUUAGAGGGGAGAUUAGAGCCGUUUGAAGGGAGUUGUGAGAUCUUUCGAGAUUUCAAGGCUUCUUAAGACUUAUAUUUUAAUUUCUUACUGUCAAUUCUUUCUUUAUUUCUACUUGUGCUGAAUCAUUAUCUAAUCUAUUUUCUGUUCUUAUUGUGUUUUCAGCCUUUUUCUAUCUUAAGGAAUCAGCCCAAAAAUCCCCAAUUUCUAGGGUUUUUCCAUACUCUUUUUGGGUGAAAUUAGAUUGUCGAAAUUUGGGGAAAACUAUCUUGGUGUUCAAUUGGGCAGAAUCACAAUCUCCUUGAGGGUUUCAAGAACCCUAACACUUAUUUCUAUUCUCAAUUUGAUUCUUUGCUGAUUUGGGGAUUUUAUUUCAGAUCUGGAAAUUCAAAGUUCUAAUCUUUUAAUUUUUCUGUUUCAUUUCGGAUCUGAUUGUUUAGGAUUUUCGUAGGAGUUUCCCGUGACUUGGCAACUCGACUUGGUCCGCGCGCAACCCCGUAUCAGAGUAAGGGAGAAAGGACAAAUACAAAAGAUAUAGAGAAAAGAGGCUAGUAGUGAAAAAAGUCAAAAUCUAAAUAGCCCAAAGGUGAGUGAAUCCGCAAGUGGUAAAAUGAGAGUGAAAAAUUUGAUGGCAACAAAAAAAGAUGUGCGGAGAGCCCUACUCAAUAAACAGCCUUGUAUCCUUGUGAGGUUUAGGCAAAACUAUUUAUCUUUAUCUAACACUAACGAAAAUUUGCCUAGUGUGUUUCAAUGUUUUUUGCAGGAUUAUGAGGAUGUUUUUAGUAAGACCCCUAAAGGUUUACCACCUUUACGUGGGAUAGAACACUUCCAUUGGCCACAUACGAAAGAUAACUUUCAACUUCAAUACCUUUUCGAUGAAAGACGCUUUCAGACGAUCAACAUAGGCAAGGUUGAAGAUGAAAUCACACUACAUGAGCCUGAAGGUAAGCGAGGUAAGGAAUUUUUAGCAACUGAGUCCCGUGCAGAUUUGAAAAUUAUUGAUAAAACUUUUGAUGACUUAGUUCUUAAAAGAUCCCUUCAUUUUAAUCCGAUUAAUUGUUAUUCUUCGAUUGUGGUUGAUAAAGUCAUUACGAAAGGAAGCGUGAGUUGUUAUUCUCUUGAUUUGCCUUAUGUAAAAUCCUCGAAUUUGUGCAAAUCUGUUAUGGUGAAUAAGGUAACGAAAUUUGCCAAGUUUGUUUUCAAUUUAUAUUUGUGCCUUAAACAGUUUAUGUGGUUGUACAUGAAGUUUGAGUUCCAUUUGACAAAGGUUAACUCAACAACGGAGCUUCGAAUACACUAUGCCCCUGAUGAGCGAAGGUUUGUUUUAAAUGAAAAAGGUAAAAUCGACCCUUAUUCUUCUACUUAUCAAGGUAAGAUGCUUGAAACCUUUGAAACACUUUUGUACUUUUCGGAUAGUGAUAAAGAUCGUGUUGAUGAACACUUAGAUCGAAACGUGCUUGACUGUCCUAUUUUAUUUAUUGAUGAUCUA
rnacentral:lncRNA from 1 species